AGGAAGCUCGGAGUGCUUCGUUGGAAGUUUUUGGACGUAAGAACACGGAGAUCGACAAGUUCAAAGUUUGGCCGGAGCUUUCGAGGCUUUUUCCGGCGAAUCCCCGGCGAGUUAGGAGUCAAGGUAGGUAUCAAUCUCUUCGUCUCGUCAAGUACUACAACUUUCCUUUUUGUUUCACUCAAUUUCGUUGAGUAUUGAAGAAGUUAUACUCAUUUGAAAAAUACCCAGUUUCCGACGACCUCCGAGGCUUUCGAGGCAGUUUCCGGCCAAACCACGGCGAACUAGGUGUUGUACAAGGUACCAUUAUCUUUGUCUCUUCAAGGGCUACAACUUUCAUUUUUGAAUCACUUGAUUUCGUUGAGAAAUGACAAAGUUAUGGCAAUUUGAAAAACGGCCGCCGGAAAAACCAGUCCGGCGACCCAAGGAAGAAGAAGGUGCGCGUGGGGGCGCGUGCUACAGUAACAAAAUAUUUUAAAAAUAUGUCGACGUCCGUGACGGAGUAGAUCUCUGUGGUAUAUUCAUAUACCCAAUUUGAGCACCGUAUGAGAAAGUUAUUAAGGAUUGUUGGUUAGGUGUUCGAAUAACGUUUUAUAGUUUUGGUGAAAAUGUGAAUUGAUGAUCCGACCGUUGGAUCGUCACCAAAAUUUGAUACGUUGUAAUACGUAAUAUUUGAGGAUUAUAGGAACUUACAGAUUGGGAAUCCGAUUUGCGGAUCUUCCGAAAUUGGAGUUGUAAGUCCAUAAUAUAGAAUGUUAACUGUCACUUAGUUUUGGAAAUUGACGGAGAUCCAACCGUUGGAUGGUAAUGAAAUUUUAGGAUGUUAUCCUAGAGAUAUAUUGUGGACCUCUGGAAGUUAUGGAUUUAAAAUCUGAGUGGCAGAUCUUCCGGAUCGAACUACGUAGUGACGUAUUUUAUAUAAGUUAUAUAUUCUAUCGAUAUGAAUUCUGAGGUUGGAUUUGAUUACUAUUCUAGGCGGCGAUCGUCGUGACGCCUUGAUGUGUGGUGCUAGGGAGUUGUUGGACGAACUCCAGGUGAGUGGGCAGUUUUGUUUUCCGUAUACAUAUAUACUUGCCGUUUUCCCAGAAAUUGAAAAUGCAUGAAAUUAUGCUUUUAAUGAAAAUGUAUAAAAGUAUAUGAGAUAUAUUAGUUGAAAUGCCAUGCAUGAAAGUAUAUGAAAAGUAGAUAGAAAUGUGAAUCGAAUUGCCAUGCAUGAAAUGAUAUGGAAAGUAUGAAUUGAUAUAUGAUGCAUAUGUAUGAAUUGGUGCGGCGGACGCACAGGUGAGUAUCAGGUGAGUAUUUAAAUAUUGUUAUGAUGAUGUUGAUAUAUAUUGAGCUAAAUCCUGCACCAUGGUUUAGUGCUUAUAGUAUUCACCGCAUCGCACGCUCGCCUUGGAUCCAAGUAGAUGCUGGUCGCACAGUCCACGCGGAGUGGGUGCGACGGGCCAGUCGAAGAGUGUUAGUGAGAUUUCGACUGGUGGGUGACCUUAGAUUAUGUGCACAGAUGAUUGAUGAGAAAGCACUAGAGCGUAACUUGUGUGCAGAAGGCCGGACGGGUCACAGAGGUGACUCCGGUAGAGUGAUAGUGAUAGAUUUUGAGCUCUAGGUUCAACCGUACAGGGCUAUUAGAGGGCCUCCGGUUGAUUACUUUCUUGCACCUGAUAUGAUUAUUGUUGAUGCAUCCAUACUUAACUGUUGAAUUAGACAUGGCAUGGCAUGAUUGAUAAAGAAAAAAUGUUGAGUUAAUGAAUCGAAGUAUUGAGAAUAUAUAUGUAUAUUUAUAUUUUACAUUUCUGGGAAAGUAUACAGGUUUUACGGAGAGAGGUUACAACGUUUUGAGAAAUGUUUGGAUUUGGAAAGAAUUGUUUUACUGACCCACUCAAUUUUGGUUUUGCGCCCCUCCAGGUUAAAGAAUAGCUGAGGUGUGGUGGCUACGAGGAAUUCAACGGGGUUCUGACAGAAUGGAUCAAAUUAGGACUCACCUUCGGGUGUAUCAACUUAUAAAUUGUAUAAUUAAAGCUUCCGUACUGUGCAAAUGGUUACGUCACUCUCACGUGACGGCCAGCAUGCCCUCCUUCGGGACGGGGUGUGUCAGUUGGUAUCAGAGCAUGGUUGCAAUCUUGGACAUCUUGAGAAGUUCUAGUGAAUUCUGUCAGAACUACACCGCCUCGUAGCAAGCCACUUAGUUAGAGGAAUUUAGUCUCCCUAAUAUAGCGGUUUAGGGAAAACUAUUAUUAUGGUGAUUCAGUCUAUUAUAAAAAGGGACAUUUUAAGACGGGUUAUGAGUUGAAUUUGAAUCACCUUAUGAAAUGAUGAACCUGAGGGAGCGAAGUAACGGUUUAACCAUUUGGAAAAGAUGUUUCAGAUUAUGCAAGUCAAAGGAAUCUUCCUUCUGACAGGGGGUCGAGACGAUUACCUGGUUUUGGGUAUGAAUUUGUAUCCUGGUGGAAACAGGAGUAUGAUUUGUUGUCACCGGAGGAACAGCCGAUUUAAAAUUGUUUAAGGACUUGUUUAAGGAAAAGUUUAUCCCUCCGGCAUUUAUCGAUGAUAGUAAGCAAGAGUUUGCAAAUGUGAAUCAAGGAAGUUGACGAUAAAUGGAUAUUAUAGAAAGUUUUCAGACUUGCCUCGUUCCAUCCAGAUAUUGUUGUUAAUUUGGUAGAGGUGUUAUGUUGUUUUAAGCUGGGUGGCAAAAGGGAAGUGGUAUUUUGGGUGACCAUUAUCCAUUGUAGUUCUUAUCAGGAGUAUGCGAGAUGCUGUUGAGCCUUGAGGACUCUAAGAACAUGAGCAACGAGAAUAAAGAAGAAUAAGAAAUGAAUGGGAAUCAAAAGAAGACGAUAAAGUUUAUGAUUCGUCAUAUCAAGGAUAUAGAAAGAUUCAGAGCUUCGAAAGAAGUGAAGCUAGAGUUAAUUCUUCCAGCUGAGGUUUUAAUGUCGCUGGUCAGAAUAAAAGUGAUGGAUAUACUGGUAAUCCCAGAUAUUUGAGACAAGGUGUCUCGAGUAAAGGAAAUGUACCUUGUGCAGCAGGUACAAAAAAUUAACACUUUGGGAAGUGUGAAAUUAAUGAAUGUGUUUAUGUGAACAGAGGGGACACAGAAUUGUGAAUCGUCCCUAGAAUCAGUUGUACUCAACAAUUUUCCAUGAUAUCAUAGUGUCGAUUCAGCAGAGUUAUGGACUUAGUAGUUUGGUCGGAUUGACCGUGAGUACAGAGAGAUUUGAUGAGUUAUAUGUUCAGCCGUACAGACCAUGAGAAGUGGAUUCGAUUGACACAUGAGAAAUUUGUGAGUUAUAGGCUCAGCCGUACCGACCACGCGGAGUGGAUCCGGCCGACGUAUUAUUGAGAUAAGAGUUGAAUCAACCGUAUUGGUCAUUCUAGUUGACUUCGGCUGAUAUAUUUCUUAUUAUGUAUGAUAUUACCUAGAGAGUGGUAAAUAAAUGUAGUUGAGACGAGUGUAUGUAUUUUGCAUUGAGUGACAAAAUAGUAAUGUUAUAUCUUUUUUAGUGGUUGCCUACUUAUCGAGACAACGAUGAUUUAUCAGUAUUGCGGGCUGCAGACCGUAAUAUUAAUAACUCAUUCGUGGAUUCGUUAAGCAAGCAAACCGGUAGGUUAUUUUAUGUUAGUGUUGUACUUAUUUAGAAUGUUCAGUAUUAAUAAAGUAUGUAUUGUGUCGGUUAAAUUAUUUCCAUUAGAUUGGUUGGUUAUAAUUGUGACUAAAUGGACUGUUAUGGGAAACCAGUCACUUUCCAUCGAUCUGGAUGACCAGAGAUUACUUUUGUAAGUAUGCAAAGUGGAUUGAGUCAGGCCGUUAUUUAUGCUGUGAGAGCAAAGAGAUUGUUUUCGAAAGGCUGUCAAAAAAAUACUUAGCUCAUGUGGUGCUAAAUGAUGUUGUUUGGAGUAGUGUGAAUAAUGUCGAAAGAGUUAGACUUUUCUUGAUGUCUUCCCUGAAAGUAUACCUGGAUUGUCUUCAAGCAGAGAUAUGAGGUUCAUUAUUGAUUUGUUGCCAGGUAUAAAUUUAUAUUGGAGAUCAGUUCAUGAUGAGUUAAGAAAAUUGGAAAUUUAGUUGAAAGAAUUGGUUGACAAAAGUUUCAUUCAACCUAGUACAACACUUUUGAGGAGCCCCAGUUUGUUGGUGAGGAAGAAAAUGGAUCUUGAGACUGUUCAUUGAUUAUAGACAAUGGAGUCGGGUAACGAUUGAGAACCGUUAUCCAUGGUGAUGUAUUGAUGUUUAUUUAACCAGCUCAGAAGUAAUGGCGAAGAUUCAAAGAUUGAAUUGAGAUCUGGUUACUACCAAUUGAAUAUUAUAAGUGACGUUGAUCAUAAGAUGGUUUUCUGGACUCGUUAUAGUCUUUAUGAAGUUUGGUGAUGCUAUAUGGAUACUCAUGCUGUUUUAUGAGUUGAUGGAUGAAGUAUUCCAAUAAUGCCUUGAUAAAUUGAUAUCAUUUUCAUUGAAGAUAUUCUGGCAUAUUCUGAGCCAGAGCAGAGCAUGUAAACGUAUUAAGUCGGUGAAACAAAGAUUGGAAGAAUGUCGAUUGUAUGCUAAGUUUAGCAAAUGCUAAAGUUAGAUGAAUCAGGUGGCAUUCUGAGAUUUGUUAUAUAUUCUUAAGGUAUUCAAGUGAAUCCUUAAAAGAUAGCAGAAAUUGAGGAAUUGGAACAACCACGAACUGUAAUUGAGAUUCAGAAUUUCUUAGCUUACCAGGCUAUCUUGGAUGGUUGUGAAAGAUUUUUCAGUCAUUGCUUUGUCAUUGACGAGACUGUUGAGAAAAGAGGUUAUGUAUGAGUGGGAAGGAAAUUGUGAGCAAAUGAUUCAACAACUGAAGUAUUUCCUCACUCAUGCACGUAUUUUAGUAAUCCCAGAGAAUAGUGGUAAUCAUAAAUUUUUAGUGCUGUUUCUUGAAUGGUAUUGGAUGCAUGUUGAUGCAAAUGUUAGGGUGAUUGCAUACGUUUCACGACAAAUGGAAUCUCAUGAGAUGAAUUACCCUACUGGUGAUUUGGAAGUCACGAUUACCAUCCUUGCUGUGAAGUUAUGGAGACAUUAUAUUUUAGUGAGAAUGCAAGAUUUUUUUUACGAAUCCAAAAAGUCUUCAAUAUCCAUUACUUGGAAGGAUUUUGAUAUGAGGCAGCGAAAGUGAAUUGUAUUGCUUAAUGAACAUGAUUGAACGAUCAGAGUGAUCAUAAAGUUUGUUCUAGCUGAAGCAUUUGGUGAGAAGACUACAGUAAGAUUAAUGUCUGGCACGUUUGCCAAGAGUAUCAUCUUGUGGAUUGAAACCAACGGAAGAAAAAUUAAGAAUGGAAGAUCGAGAAGAAGUUAUACUUGUUAAAUUUCAAGUUAGGCCUUUUGGUAAGGUCGUACUCGAGACUCAAAUGGUAUGUGAAUACAAGCAAACGAAAAGUAUGUGCCUAAUGCUGUGGGUUUAAAGCAAACAAUUUUGGACGAAGUACACUGUUCAGCUUCUGCAAUAUUCCGAAGGUAAUAAGGUUUAUCAUACCAUUCGACAUUUUUAUUGGUCAGCAGAUUGAGGCAGAAAGAAAUAAACCUUUGGAUUGAGACAGCUAUUUUCUGUUUCGAAACGGAAAUGGAAAGAGAAUUGGAUUACGGAACUGCUGAGUUUCUUAAGUAUGUUGGGUGUGCAGUUUCCGAAAUAACGCCAUAGGGUCCCUGAAGCGUGUCGUGUGAAUGAAAUGCUUCUGAAUAGAGAAAGAUUCGAUCAAGAAAGAGUUUUAGUAGACCCUGAGACUAUGGAUGAGUCUCCUCAAAGUAUUCAGGUGAUUAAGUUUAACCUGAAGGUAGCCAGGAAUGGCAAAAGAGACUAACAGAUGGAUAUGCCAUUAAUCGAGUGUGUAAGGUAAAUGGUUUGAUAUUUUUGGAAAUUUCACCAUGAACAUAAAUAGUAAGAUUCAGAAAGGGAGACAAGAUAAGUCUUGAACACAUCAGUCCGUUUUGAUCAUUAAAGGAAUCGACGAAGUUGCAUACAAGUUUGUGAUGCCUUCAGAAUUGGCUAAGGCACAUAAUGUAUUUUGUGUUCGAUGCGUUGUCACUAAGUGGCAGAGUCGUUACAUGGGACUUUGGUGCAACUAUUGAGAAUUAAGCCGGAUCUGAUUGGUGAGGAACCAAUGACGACUUUGGAUUGGAAAAAGAAGGUCCUGAGAAUUAAGACAGAGUAAGUAGUAAAAGCUUUGUGAAGGAAUCAUUCAGUAGAAAAUUAUGUGGGAGAAAGAGAAUCGGAUGAGACAGAUUUACCCGUAGCUAUUGUUGGAGUAUGGUUGAUUUAGUUGGUUGCUGGAAUUUCGGGGACGAAAUUCUAUAAGGAGGGAAGAUUGUCACAGCCCGUCCCGGAAUUUUAAUUCUGAGAACGUGAAAAGACGAAAAUGCCCUUAAACGGGAGUAAGGGGCGAAAAUUUAACAAUUGGGAUUGAGUUGGACACGUGGGAUCCCCACAUCCCUCAAAACCUUCCCCAAUUCCCGUACCUUGUCACUCUUUCUCUCCUCCCUCACGAAACUCUCAGUUUUCUCUCCCUCUCCUUCGAACUCACACGGACAAGCUCCAAAACCACCCUAAACUUCUACCAACGACAGAGUUAAGACCACCAUCAAACUCCUGGAACCUCCACGAUCACGAUGGUAUCCAUUUCAGGUAAGUUUUGCUUCGGAAAACCCUAGUUUCAAAGUUCCCGUGAAAUGGUACCGUUCAUGAUCUUCUAAAUGACUACGUUUUAGGCUAAAACAAGAUCACAGCGAGCUUAGUGAGGUCCCAAGGAAGCUCGGAGUGCUUCGUUGGAAGUUUUUGGACGUAAGAACACGGAGAUCGACAAGUUCAAAGUUUGGCCGGAGCUUUCGAGGCUUUUUCCGGCGAAUCCCCGGCGAGUUAGGAGUCGAGGUAGGUAUCAAUUUCUUCGUCUCGUCAAGUACUACAACUUUCCUUUUUGUUUCACUCAAUUUCGUUGAGUAUUGAAGAAGUUAUACUCAUUUGAAAAAUACCCAGUUUCCGGCGACCUCCGAGGCUUUCGAGGCAGUUUCCGGCCAAACCACGGCGAACUAGGUGUUGUGCAAGGUACCAUUUGAAGAAGUUAUACUUUUCAAGGGCUACAACUUUCGUUUUUGAAUCACUUGAUUUCGUUGAGAAAUGACAAAGUUAUGGCAAUUUGAAAAACGGCCGCCGGAAAAACCAGUCCGGCGACCCAAGGAAGAAGAAGGUGCGCGUGGGGGCGCGUAGGUCCGUGCCUUCCUUGGCGCAUGGGGGCGCGUGCUACAGUAAAAAAAUAUUUUAAAAAUAUGUCGACGUCCGUGACGUCGAGUAGACCUCUGUGGUAUAUUCAUAUACCCAAUUUGAGCACCGUAUGAGAAAGUUAUUAAGGAUUGUUGGUUAGGUGUUCGAAUAACGUUUUAUAGUUUUGGUGAAAAUGUGAAUUGAUGAUCCGACCGUUGGAUCGUCACCAAAAUUUGAUACGUUGUAAUACGUAAUAUUUGAGGAUUAUAGGAACUUACAGAUUGGGAAUCCGAUUUGCGGAUCUUCCGAAAUUGGAGUUGUAAGUCCAUAAUAUAGAAUGUUAACUGUCACUUAGUUUUGGAAAUUGACGGAGAUCCAACCGUUGGAUGGUAAUGAAAUUUUAGGAUGUUAUCCUAGAGAUAUAUUGUGGACCUCUGGAAGUUAUGGAUUUAAAAUCUGAGUGGCAGAUCUUCCGGAUCGAACUACGUAGUGACGUAUUUUAUAUAAGUUAUAUAUUCUAUCGAUAUGAAUUCUGAGGUUGGAUUUGAUUACUAUUCUAGGCGGCGAUCGUCGUGACGCCUUGAUGUGUGGUGCUAGGGAGUUGUUGGACGAACUCCAGGUGAGUGGGCAGUUUUGUUUUCCGUAUACAUAUAUACUUGCCGUUUUCCCAGAAAUUGAAAAUGCAUGAAAUUAUGCUUUUAAUGAAAAUGUAUAAAAGUAUAUGAGAUAUAUUAGUUGAAAUGCCAUGCAUGAAAGUAUAUGAAAAGUAGAUAGAAAUGUGAAUCGAAUUGCCAUGCAUGAAAUGAUAUGGAAAGUAUGAAUUGAUAUAUGAUGCAUAUGUAUGAAUUGGUGCGGCGGACGCACAGGUGAGUAUCAGGUGAGUAUUUAAAUAUUGUUAUGAUGAUGUUGAUAUAUAUUGAGCUCAAAUCCUGCACCAUGGUUAGUGCUUAUAGUAUUCACCGCAUCGCACGCUCGCCUUGGAUCCAAGUAGAUGCUGGUCGCACAGUCCACGCGGAGUGGGUGCGACGGGCCAGUCGAAGAGUGUUAGUGAGAUUUCGACUGGUGGGUGACCUUAGAUUAUGUGCACAGAUGAUUGAUGAGAAAGCACUAGAGCGUAACUUGUGUGCAGAAGGCCGGACGGGUCACAGAGGUGACUCCGGUAGAGUGAUAGUGAUAGAUUUUGAGCUCUAGGUUCAACCGUACAGGGCUAUUAGAGGGCCUCCGGUUGAUUACUUUCUUGCACCUGAUAUGAUUAUUGUUGAUGCAUCCAUACUUAACUGUUGAAUUAGACAUGGCAUGGCAUGAUUGAUAAAGAAAAAAUGUUAAGUUAAUGAAUCGAAGUAUUGAGAAUAUAUAUGUAUAUUUAUAUUUUACAUUUCUGGGAAAGUAUACAGGUUUUACGGAGAGGGGUUACAACGUUUUGAGAAAUGUUUGGAUUUGGAAAAGAAUUGUUUUACUGACCCACUCAAUUUUGGUUUUGCGCCCCUCCAGGUUAAAGAAUAGCUGAGGUGUGGUGGCUACGAGGAAUUCAACGGGGUUCUGACAGAAUGGAUCAAAUUAGGACUCACCUUCGGGUGUAUCAAUUUAUAAAUUGUAUAAUUAAAGCUUCCGUACUGUGCAAAUGGUUACGUCACUCUCACGUGACGGCCAGCAUGCCCUCCUUCGGGACGGGGUGUGUCAUUUUAGGUGUUUGGUGAACUAAAAAAAAAAAGCUUAUUUUGGAAGCUGUUGUGAGAAUAAGCUGAAAUCAAAGGAAAAGCUGAAAUUGCUAUUUGCAGCUUUGGAAAACUGGCUUUUUUUUAAAGCACACGGAGCUACAAUGCUCCUUUAAUGAAAAGACUCACUAUCAGACUGUUUUUUUUUCAAAAGCACUUUUACAAAAAAAUUUACCAAACACUCUGUUGAUUUAUUUUACAGCCGUUUAUUCUCACAGCAGUUUUUUUUCAAAGCAUAACAAUACCAAACUAGCCCUUAAUUUUUUAAUUCAAUGGAAUAUUGGGAUUGAAUUAUUUACAAAUAAUUAACAUUAUAUAUUGUUUAGAGAAUGGUUAUUUAGCAAUUAAGCAUGAUUUUAUUUGAUUUUGCAUGAUGCGGGCUUUGAGUUUUAGCAACGUGUUUCACGGGCUUUGAGCUUUAAAGAAAACCUCAGUUAGUUCACUAUCUUGAGGACUCUCCCAGACUCAGACUGAAUCUUCUCUCCUCAAUCCUCCCUCUCGUAUCUCGAUCUCUCUCUUCCAGAGUCCAGGCUGACUCUCAUCCCUUUCGAUUCUUGGUUUUUCUGUCGAACUCGAAGGGACGAACGACAAAGUCAAUCUCUCUCUCUGUUGAACUUGAGGGGACGAACGAUGAAGUCGAACAACUUGAAACGAUGAAUCAGUCAUGUCCUCCAUCUGACUCAGACUCAUAUUUGCAGGGAAUCCGAGCUCUGUUGACGGUCAUUUUCAGUUUCGAGGUAUUAUGUUUUAGGGAUUUUGUUGGUUUCUUGAAUCUUGACCUCUGUUCUGUUUCAAUUUCAGAUCUUUUGUUGAAUUGAAUUUGAAUCUUCUGUUGGGUAUUAUUGAGAUUAUAUUUGGUUGAUUAGUGGAAUGUGUUGGUAUAUGGUCCAGCCCAUGAUGAAUGUUCUAGAUUAUUCUAGUAAGCAAGUGAGGUGGCUGGAGCAUGCUAGACAAUUCUAGCAUGUUAUUAAGUUGAUGGAAGAAGUUAGAGAGUACUAGCUUCCUUAGUUGCAAAUGGAAAGAUCUAGAAGCUACAAUUUUGUUGCUAGUCUAUAAUUAUCUAUGCUAGAGGAUUGAAGAAUACAAUAGAAACUAGUAGAAUGCCAAACCCUCACCUAUAAAUAUGGGUGUGAUGUUGUAGUGAAGUAACCAAUUAAGAACCAAGUGUGAGUAGCAAAGGAUCAAGUCCAAAGCUAGAGUUCCACUCCAAGAGUGAGAGUAAAAGUGUUCCACUACACAUUGUGAGUGAAGUUUAGAGUGAUAGAAAGUGUGUGUCAUACUUUCUUGUAUCCAUCAAGCCUUGUCUUUGGCUUGGUAAGACUACUCUUGUUGUACUCAUAUUUUUCAUAUAGUGAAGAUUGAUCAUUUGUUUAGUGGACGUAGGCAUAAAUUGCCGAACCACAUAAAUUCUUGGUGUCCAUUUUCUACUUUACCUUGUGUUGAUGCACAAAACCGGAGGUCUUGGAACAACGUAAAUCCGACCGUGAAUUCUGCACAAACGCUCAAGAACACGAAGAACACAAAGAACACAAGGAUUUUAUCGUGGUUCACCCCAAUGUUUGGGCUACGUCCACACUGUAGUUGAUUCUGUUUCUCUGUAAUUGUAUGGAUACAAGUGUUUGGGGGAAGUCCCCCGGAGGAGAAAGAAGAGAAGGGAGAGGAGAGCCUCGGUAGUGUGAGGUCUCUCCUGAAUGUAAUGAUAGCUUCUCUUAGCCUUCUUAGGCUUGGCUCUUUUGCCUCCCUUAGAAUGAGGGGAGGAGUCCCCUUUUAUAGAAUAAGGGGCUCCUCCUCUUUUACAAAGUAUGGGCUUUAGUGUGAGGCCCAAAUACAAGGCCCAAGGCCCAAAUAUACGAGGCCCAAUAUAUGGUACCAACAGGAGUCCCCCAAGUCUUCAGUCAAGAGAGUCUUUUGGCUGGAGACUUCAAAUUCAGUCCAUGUGUGGGCCGAAGUGACUAGAUGUUGUCCAGAACCAGUGCUCAACAUGAAGCAACGCUUAACAUAAAGUAAUACUCAGCUAGAGGUAGCACACGUUACGAGGUUGCCCGGCCGGAGGUGAUGCCCGUUGCGAGGCUGCUUGGUUAGAGGCUUACGCUCGCGGUGAGAACUUGCUUGGUUAGAGGCUUAUGCUCGCAGCGAGAGGUUGCUCGGCUGGAGUCGAUGCUCAUUGCAAGGUUGCUUGGCUAGAGGCUUAUGCUCGCGGCGAAAGGUUGCUCGGCCGGAGUUGAUGCCCAUUGCCAGGUUGCUCAGUAAGAGGCUACGCUCGCAGCAAGGCGGCUCGACUCGUGGCAUUCCUGGUUGCAAGUACGUACUUUAUGUCAAUGUGCACUCAGUAUGAGUUGAUUCUCGACCUGACUAGGGUCUGUAAGUUGGGUCUGAUUUUGUAAGUGCCCAAAAUGAAUGGUGUCUGAGCCCAUGGGUGUCCAAGCAAAUGGAUGUCCUGGUUGGGUAAGAGAUCAAUGUUGAUCAGUAGAGCUGGUUGCUCGAUAAUUCCUGACAAUAAAUGACAGCAUAAGUCUGAUUGUAUAAAUCAAUAACGUGGUAUUAAUCAUGUAAUAUAAAAAAUAAUAAUCAUAUUAUUUAAUCAUGAGUCAUCAUGAUAUAGAAAUAAUAUAAUCAUUAUUUUAUAAUAAUUAUAAUCAUCAUGACGUAAAAAUAAUAAAAUAUUUAAAGGAAAAGAAUAUUAUCCCUGUGUUUUCGGUGGAGGCAUGGUGGAGACAUAGUGAUGAUAGCGGGACUAUCCCACUAAAUUUCUGUUCCCCACUUUCUUUUUUAUUCUUUUCUUUUUCUUUUUUUUUUCUUUUCUUUUCUUUUUCUUUUUCUUUCUUUUUCUUUUUUCUUUUUUUUUUCUUUUUCUUCUUUCUUUUCCUGGUGCUAUGGCCGACACCAGUGGGAUUUUUCCCACCAAACCUGUUCCACUUUCUCUUUUUACAGGUUUAGUGGAUGAUUGCUGCCUUCUAGUGGAUGACUCCAAUUGAGUUGAUUCUUUCUGUUUCCCACUCUCUCUGAGAAAAAAAAUCACAGUGCCUCUCUCUCUGACCGUCCCCCUACGGCCCUCCGGUUCGCCGCGCGAGUCACUCUUUAACUCGCUGACCCAGUCACUGAGCUCAGCUUCAUCCUCAAUCAGACUCUUCGAAGCUCCACCAACUCUUCGUAGGCACGUGGCAACUCGGACCCCGACCUAGUCCUGGAGCCCCGGAACGCCUCGUCGACGUCCUUGCUGUUGAGCAGGUUGAUCGCCAGCUUCAGUCCAUGCGCCACCAGCGACGAGAACAGGAAGAAGCUGAAGGAAACGGCCUCCCCUCCGCAGCCAUCUCCGCCAUUUCGGCCACCGCCUCCGCUGAUACUAUCUUCAUUCUAGAACAGUCCUGAUCCUCUGUACUCAGCCUCGUCGAGUACGUCACCCCGCCUCCUAUCUGAGAGCUCAACCUAGCGCGCGGUCGGAGCUGGCAGUGGACCUAAUGGUGCGGCGAACCUUGCCGUGCGCGUAGCGGCACUCGCUUCCGUGGCCACAGGUUUUGGCCUCACGCCUGAAAAAGGAGCAGAGGCUGGUCUUCCAUACUUCAUGCAGUUUUGGUGCUCAUGGAUUGCCCAACAUGUUGUGUUUGUGUAGUAGGGAGCCUCUGGAUUUGGAACCCAUCAGAACAGAAGAAUUGGAAAGCUGAUUUCCCUGAAAAGAGCCCAGAAAACCCAGUGUCGCAGCCCAGGUCGAAGCUGCUGUGGCGGCUGUGGAGGGUCGAGAGAGAAGAGGGUGGAGGUGGCGAGUUGGGCCUGGAGCUCCGGGAGCUUGGCCUGGUAUUAAGGCCCAUUUUGGAGCAACGGUACACAAUCUGCCCCUUUUUGUUCAGUCAGAUUUUGAAGUUUUGGAUGAGUGGGUUAGUGAUCUGAGCAUAUCUACGGCAAAGAUCUGAUGAAUUCCGAGGAUGAGAGAAAGGUAGAGUGUUUGUGGGUUUUUUUUCUGCGAGUGGUGCAGAUUCACGGUGGUGAAAAUGAAAAAUUGAGGAAGAGAACCGACAUAGCUUUUUGUGUCGUUUCCCACAGACGGCGCCAAAUGUUGAUGCACAAAACCGGAGGUCUUGGAACAACGUAAAUCCGACCUUGAAUUCUGCACAAACGCUCAAGAACACGAAGAACACAAGGAUUUUAUCGUGGUUCACCCCAAUGUUUGGGCUACGUCCACACUGUAGUUGAUUCUGUUUCUCUGUAAUUGUAUGGAUACAAGUGUUUGGGGGAAGUCCCCCGGAGGAGAAAGAAGAGAAGGGAGAGGAGAGCCUCGGUGGUGUGAGGUCUCUCCUGAAUGUAAUGAUAGCUUCUCUUAGCCUUCUUAGGCUUGGCUCUUUUGCCUCCCUUAGAAUGAGGGGAGGAGUCCCCUUUUAUAGAAUAAGGGGCUCCUCCUCUUUUACAAAGUAUGGGCUUUAGUGUGAGGCCUAAAUACAAGGCCCAAGGCCCAAAUAUACGAGGCCCAAUAUAUGGUACCAACACCUUGAGUAUUCUCUAUCUUGUAGUACCGAGAUUCCUAACAAGUGGUAUCAGAGCCCGGUUGGCUCGUACUACGAGAUGGAAGGAAGUGGCAUUAUAAUCAAACUCACCAACUCCAAUUGGGUAACAUGGAAGCCAAGGAUGGAGGACAUUCUCUAUUGCAAGGAUCUGCAUGAGCCAAUUGAAGGAGAUGCCGCUAAGCCCGAGAGCAUGUCCGAUGCCGAGUGGAAGAAGAUGAAUCACAAGGCUAUUGGCACAAUUAGACAAUGGGUGGACGAUAGUGUUUUUCACCAUGUAUCUAAUGAAACCAAUGCCCGCGAGUUUUGGACAAAGCUUGAGUCCUUGUUCGAGAAGAAGACCCCAGCCAAGAAAGCAUUCUUGAUCAAAGAGCUCAUCAAUGUGAAGUACAAGGAUGGUUUAAGUGUAGCAGAACACUUGAACAAAUUCCAAAAUGUCAUCAACCAGUUGGCUACUAUGAAAAUGACGAUUGAAGACGAGCUACAAGCGCUCUUGUUACUUGGAUCCUUGCCAGACAGUUGGGAGACCUUUGUGGUAAGUAUAAGUAACUCUGCUUCUAAUGGUGUUCUUACUCUUGAUAAUUUUAAAAAUAGCUUGCUCAAUGAAGAAACAAGGAGAAAGACUUUAGGCACAUAUAGCAGCUAAAUAUUUGUCACAGAGAACCGCGGAAGAAGCAAGAGUAGAGGGCCUAGAGGCCAUGGCAGGAGUACUAGCCGAUCCAAGUCAAGGUUCAGGGGUGCAUGCCACCAUUGUGGCAAAGAAUGCCAUAUGAAGAAAAAUUGUCGAGUUUGGAAGAGAGAGCAAAGGAAAGGAAACAAUCAGAAGAAAGAUGAUACUGGUAAUACCAUCGCUGUCAUAUGUGGUGAUGUACCAGAAAUAUUAUCUGUUGGUGAAUGUCUGCAUACGGGCAACUCUGAUAGAGACACUGAAUGGAUCUUUGACAAUGGAGCUUCCUUCCAUGCUACGUCCAAACGGGAGUUCUUUAGUACAUACAAAGAAUGUGACUUUGGCAUAGUGAGGAUGGGGAAUGAAAGUUAUUCCAAAAUACUUGGAAUUGGUGAUAUUUGCCUAAGAACUAAUCUCGGUUGCCAGUUGAUGUUGAAAUAUGUGAGACAUAUUCCUGAUAUACGUCUCAAUCUGAUAUCCAUCGGUACCCUUGAUCGACAAGGUUAUUAUCAUCAUAUUGGCGAAGGAAAAUUGAAGCUUACUAAAGGUUUAAUGGUGGUAGCAAGAGCACGACUUUGUUGUACAUUGUACCGGUCAAAUGCCAAAGUUUUAAAAGGUGAGUUGAAUGCUGUGGAGGACUUAUUUCUAGACUUGUGGUAUAAGAGGCUAGGCCACAUGAGUGAGAAAGGCCUACAAGUUUUGGCAAAGAAGUCUCACAUUCCAUUUACCAAAGGUACGUCAUUAAACUCUUGUGAGCAUUAUUUAUUCGGAAAGCAAAUAAGAAUUAUCUAAGUCCUUUGACAUGAAGGACUUAGGGCCAGCCAAGCAGAUUUUGGGCAUGGAGAUAAUUCGUGACAGAAAAUCCAAGAAGUUGUGGCUGUCACAAGAAAAGUAUGUUGAACGGGUGCUUGAAAGGUUCAACAUGAAAGCAGCCAAAUCGAUAAGCUCACCUUUAGCCAAUCAUAUCAAGUUGAGCAAAGAGUCGUGUCCAAAAACAUAUGAAGAAAAGGAGAAAAUGGCAGUUGUUCCCUAUUCUUCAGUAGUAGGAAGUAUCAUGUAUGCAAUGGUGUGCACACGACCAGAUAUUGCUCAUGCAGUAAGUGUGGUGAGCAGGUUUCUCUCUAAUCCAGGGAAGGACCACUAGGAAGCUGUUAAAUGGAUUCUUAGAUAUUUGAAGGGGACUUCUAAGAUGUGCUUGUGCUUUGGCGGUUCCAAACCAAUCUUGGAAGGAUUUACAGAUGCUGACAUGGGAGGUGACCUGGAUGGUAGAAAAUCUACGUCUAGGUACUUGUUUACUUUUGUAGGGGGAGCCGUGUCUUGGCAAUCCAAGUUACAAAAGUGUGUUGCUUUGUCCACAACCGAGGCUGAAUACAUAGCCGCUACAAAAGCAUGCAAGGAGUUGUUGUGGCUGAAGCGGUUUCUCCAAAAGUUGGGUUUGAAGCAAAGUGAUUAUGGCGUUUAUUGUGAUAGUCAGAGUGCUCUGGAUUUGAGCAAGAACACUACAUAUAAUUCACGCACUAAGCAUAUUGAUAUUCGUUAUCACUGGAUUAGAGAUGCUAUCGAGAACAAGUUACUACAGCUGAAGAAUAUUCAUACCGAUAAUAAUUCUUCAGACAUGUUGACAAAGGUAGUCACAAAAUCAAAGUUGGAAUUCUGCAUUAAGGCUGUUGGGAUGGACUCCAGGUAACUUGGAGUCAUGAUUGGAAUUCCUCCCUCAUGGACUGGAGGGGGAGAUUGUUGGUAUAUGGUCCAGCCCAUGAUGAAUGUUCUAGAUUAUUUUAGUAAGCAAGUGAGGUGGCUAGAGCAUGCUAGACAAUUCUAGCAUGUUAUUAAGUUGAUGGAAGAAGUUAAAGAGUACUAGCUUCCUUAGUUGCAAAUGGAAAGAUUUAGAAGCUACAAUUUUGUGGCUAGUCUAUAAUUAUCUAUGCUAGAGGUUUGAAGAAUACAAUAGAAACUAGUAGAAUGCCAAACCCUCACCUAUAAAUAUGGGUGUGAUGUUGUAGUGAAGUAACCAAUUAAGAACCAAGAUUGAGUAGCAAAGGAUCAAGUCCAAAGCUAGAGUUCCACUCCAAGAGUGAGAGUGAGAGUGUUCCACUACACAUUGUGAGUGAAGUUUAGAGUGAUAGAAAGUGUGUGUUAUACUUUCUUGUAUCCAUCAAGCCUUGUCUUUGGCUUGGUAAGACUAAUCUUGUUGUACUCAUAUUUUUCAUAUAGUGAAGAUUGAUCCUUGUUUAGUGGACGUAGGAAUAAAUUGCCGAACCACAUAAAUUUUUGGUGUCCAUAGUGAAGAUUGAUCCUUGUUUAGUGGACGUAGGCAUAAAUUGCCGAACCACAUAAAUUCUUGGUGUCCAUUUUCUACUUUACCUUGAGCAUUCUCUAUCUUGUAGUACAGACAUUCCUAACAGAAUGUUUCAUGCAAAUUGGAUUUGAAUCUUCUGUUGGCAAUUUAUGAAACAUGUAUUCUCCUCUCUGAGAACUGGGAGAAGGCUGCGAUUCCUACAAACGCCUUGUACUGACUUACAGUGGUAAUUGGACUUGUGAAAAAUAGGCCAAGUUAAGUCCAGUUCCAAAUCUCAGAAUUCAUAUACCUGCCCCAGCCUGCCUCGUUGCAUUUUAAAACGGGUCCGGUGUGGUCUCUAUAAAUUCAGGCAUGGACCGGUAGGAAAAACCAAGAUGGACAUUCAUCCAAGACAAAGGAAAAGCAACAAGAAAAUAAAGACAGUUAAGCUUGGAGUUUCCAUCAAAAUAUGCCAAAGGAAAGCGCGCAAAUCUGCACAGCCCUAGCUAUUUCCUUACCAUGAAAUCUAACCCUUCCACAUGCCACUUAUUUUCCUCCAAAAUAACAAAAGCAUGUGCAAACAUAUAAUAUUUUGCAUAUAUGUAGAUGUAGCUGCAAGUUAUACCGCCAUAGAUGUAGAUGUACCCAUAUUAUCAUAGAAAUAAAUAAAUAUUUAUUUUUUGCUUUGAAUUUUCUACAGGUCAAAAGGGGGAGGUGACUUGUGCAUAAUUCCUGCCUAAUGUAUUCUUAAUUUGGAAAUUGUCUCGCUCAAACCCAUAUCCUUUAUAAAACCCACAUUUAGAGAUAGAUCAUAUAUACAUACAAACCAAGAACAAUUUCCAAUCAAAAUAUAUGCUACAAAUGGCAAUUCCAAGGCUUCCCCAUAUCUUACAACUUUCAGUUCUUGUGCUUGAUAACAUAUGUAUCUCUAGCUAUUCAUAGCUAUGAAAAGGAAGAAAAGGAUUUGGAAGAAGAAAAGAAGAAAAGUAUUUGAGAAAUAGAAAGUAAUCUACUGAUUGCAUUGAAUGAAUGAAAUGUAUAUUGUUUACAAUGCUUUUAUAACCAUCCCACACUUUUACUUACGAAACUACCCUUUCUUAUCUCUAAGAUUCUAACUAACCACAACCAAUUACACCCAUCUCCAACCAUACAAUUCUGACAUGUCAGCUACCAUUGAAAUAUUGCCAUGUGUCACUUAUCAUCCCCCCUCAAUCUUGGCUAGGGUUCUAAGCCUAAGAUUGCAACAAUGUUUGAAAAACACUGGACUAUGUAAACCUUUGGUUAAAAUAUCAGCUGUCUGCUCCUCAGUGGGUACAUACUGAACCAGGAUGUUCUUCUGCUGAACUUUUUCCCGAACAAAGUAGAAAUCAGUAUCAAGGUGUUUGAUUCUGGUGUGAAAUACAAGAUUGGAACAGAGAGCAAUGGCAAACAAGUUAUCAUAGUGUAUAAAAGGAGGGUCAGGCAAAAACUUAUGCAAAUCCUUCAAUAGAUUCCGAAUCCAUGUAAUAUCAGCAGCACAAUGAGCAAGAGACUUAUACUCGGCUUCAAUUGAACUUCAGGAAACAGAAGCUUGCUUCUUAGACUGCCAUGAGAUUGGAUUAGAACCAAGAUAAACAACAAAACCAGUAACGGAUCUCUUGGUAUUAGGAUCAGCUGCCCAAUCAGAAUCUGAGAAGGCAACAAGAGACGGAUCACUGGAUGAUGAAUAAGUGAGUCCAUAUUCAAGCGAACUUUGCACAUAGCGUAAAAUCCUUUUGACCAGAUCAUAGUGCACUUCAGUGGGAGUAUGCAUAUAUUAACACGCAAUAUUAACAGCAUAUGCCAAAUCGGGUCGUGUGAAUGUAAGAUAUUGUAAGGCUCCGACUAUACUGUGAUAGAGUGUUGGAUCAGGUAAGGGAAUGCCCUCUGAAUCAAGAAACUGAGAAUGAGGUCGACAUGGUGUAUUCACAGAUUUGCAAUUAUCCAUGCUGGCCUUGUGAAGUAAAUCUUUGGCAUAUUUAGUUUGACUGAGAAAAAUAUCUCCAUUUGAUUUAUAUGUAAUCUGCAGUCCCAAAAAAUACGAUAAUCUGCCCAUAUCUUUGAGAUCAAACACAUCCCCCAAUUCUAUAACAACUGCUUGAAUCUUUGUUGUAUUAGAACCGGUUAGAAUGAUAUCAUCAACAUAAAGUAAUAAAGCAAUAACAUCCACACCAUCAUAUUUCACAAAUAGACUAGUAUUAGAUUGUGACAUGGUGAACCCCAUAGCAGGUAGAUAGCCAAUGAACUCGGCAUUCCAUGCUCGAGGUGCCUGUUUAAGGCCAUAGAGAGACUUAACCAACUUGCAAACGUGAUUAGGAUACUGAGGAUCAAUAAAUCCUUAUGGUUGGUGCAUAUAGACCUCUUCUUCCAAGUCACCAUGCAAAAAUGCAUUUUUAAUAUCAAGUUGUCUCAAUUCCCACUUGUGUUGGGCUGCAAAAGAAAGAAUGAGUCUCACCGUAGUAUGGUGAACUACAGGACUAAAAGUUUCAAAAUAAUCCAAACCAUGUUCCUGAGAAUACCUAUGAGCCACCAAACGCGCCUUAUAUCUUGAAAUCGAACCAUCUGGAUUCUUCUUUAGUUUGUACACCCACUUACUUCCAAUAACUGCCCUGUGAAUAGGUGGAGGCACUAAAUGCCAAGUUCCUUGACUUUGAAGGGCAUCAUACUCCUCUUGCAUUGCAUUUUGCAGGUGUGUGUUUGUUCCAGCAGUUCGAAAGGAUGUUGGUUCAGCACUAUCAGUAAUAUGAGCCAUAAGAGAAAAACCAUUGUGACAUGUAUCCAUAUCAUCCAGUCUCAAAGUGGACAAUUCAGGCAAAGAUGCAAUAUAACUAGAGUAGUCUUUUCUAGAAAUGGCACCAGUUUGCAACUUGGUUUGCAUCCUGUGAGGAGGAGGAUCACAGUGUGAGAUAUUAUCAAGAGUAGAUGGAUCAAAGGGAAGAAUUACCUCCAAUUGUGCAGGAUGAAUGACAGGUAACACAGAGGCUGUUUGUGGAGCUAGGAGAGUUGUUUCAGAUUGUGUAGAUGAUGUAGAGCUAUCAAAUGUAGUGCUGGAACCCUGAAAGUGUGACGGUACCACUGGAACAGGAAACUCAGAACCAGACAAUUGCACCUCAGUACUAGGAGACAUAGGCACAAUAUCAGAUAUGGUGAUAGCAGGUGAAGAAAGUACUGGAAGAACAAAUGGGGCAGAUGAUCUACGACUAUGAGCUUCCUGAGUAAAAGACAAACCCUGAGAUUGAUAUGUGAACAUUGCAAAAUUGAUCUUGCAAGGAAACACAUCCUCAUUGUGAAUAACAUGUCUAGAAAUAAUCAACUUUCUAGACUGUGGAUGAUAGCAUAUAACCCCUUUGUAUCCAUGUGUGUAGCCAAGAAAAACACAUAACACUGCUCUUGGUUGUAACUUGUUUUCAUUGUAUGGUUUAAUAUAUGGAUAGACUGCACUGCCAAAGACUUUCAACUCUUGCAGCCUAGGAGCAUCACCAAAUAAUAUCUGAUAUGGAGAAUUCAAAUGUAAAAUCUUACAUGGCAUCCUGUUGAUUAAAAAAACAGAAUGAGCACAUGCAUGAAACCACAACUCUUGAGACAAACCAGCAACUGUCAUGAGUGUUAUGGCUGUUUCUACAAUAUAUCUAUGUUUCCUCUCAGCAACUCCAUUUUGCUGAGGGGUAUAUGGACAAGAAACUUGAUGAAUAAUACCCUUUUGAGACAAAAAAAUUCUGAAAUCUCUUACUUAUAUACUCUUCUCCUUCAUCAGUUUGAAUGCACUUAAUACCAACAUUAAACUGAGUAUACAACACUAUAAAACUUGAGAAAGACAUCAAAGACUUCUGAUUUAUUAACUAAUGGGAAUAUCCAAACAUAUCUAGAAAAGUCAUGUACAAAACUGACAUAAUAUCGGAAACCUUCAAUGGAUUUUGUAGGUGAAGGCCCCCAAAGGUCAUAAUGAAUCUUUUGAAAGGGAAAUACAGAUUUUUUUUCUUAUCUACAAAAGGUAAUCGAGUCAUCUUUCCUGAAAUACAAAAAGAACACAUAUGUUAUGUAUCAUCUACACUACUAGUUAUCUGAGAGAGCUUCAACAUUGUAGACAACACUUCAUUGCUCGGAUGUCCACACCGUUGAUGCCAACUCACAUGCUUGACUUUCUGACCAAGUAAUCCAGUGAGCUUAUUCUGAGACUCCACUAUAGCAUCUGUAAUCAACCUGGUAAGAAUCUUAAACAACUUUCCAUCAUUGCUCCUUCCUUGGUACAGCACAGCCUUGGUUACCUUGUCAUGCACAAAGAAAUCAUUUUCAUCACAUAUGAACCAACAGGAAUUAUCUUUACAAAGUUGUUUAACUGAUAACAGAUUUACUUCAAUAGUAGGCACAUGUAACACAUUUCGCAGAAUUAAAGAUUGAGGUAAUGUGUGCAAUUUUGUAGAUCCAAUGUGACGAAUAGGCAAACCCCCUAUUGCCAAUUGUAAUUCGAUCAGUACCCUCGUAUGCAUUGACUUGCUGAAGAGCAUUCACAUCUGCAGUCAUGUGAUGUGAUGCACCUGUGUCCACAAUCCAAGAAUCACUGGGCAAGUAAGUUGGUUGGACUUAUGCUUGCAUGGCAGUGAGUGACUCUGAUGGUACACUGCCUUGAUAAGAAAAAUUGUUCCGAUGAUAGCAGUCCAAAGCAUUGUGACCCUUCUUCCCACAGAUCUGACAUUCAACUACUGUACCACUCGAGUUAGGAGUUGUAGACCUUUUCCAGCAAUUUGGAGUGGUAUGACCUCUUUUGAAGAAAAUCUGACACUCGGGGACAAUAUGUGACCUUGUUUCAGUGUUACCUGACCAAGAAUUCCAGUUGCCAUUAUUCUGCCUGUUACCAAAAGAUUGGCAUCUGCCAUGACUUGUAUGAUUCCCACCUUGUGAGGAUCAAAAAUUACCAUUCCCAUUACCAUUAUUAUUAGGCCUGAAAGACCGCGGACCACCAUUGGUAUUAGAAAACUGCCUUGGUGCAGCAACAUUUCCCACAAAACCAUAUGCAUUCGGAAACUCAGAAUAGCUCGAGAAAGAAGCUGAUGAGGAAGGAAACUGAUGGCCAGGAACUUGAGGAUACAGUAGUGGCAUAGUAGAAGAAGCCGGUAUUGAAACCGGUGUAAAUGGCAAAGAACCACUAUUUGAAACAGUUCCUUGGGAAAAACCAGAAGCUUGCAUUCCAAAUGAUGAAGACCCACUUGGCAUUUGAGUUAAAACACCGCCAGUUGUACAUGGAAUCCCACCAGAGUUACUAGAAGACCCCUGAGAUGAACCUUGUGAUGAUCCUUGCAUAUACAAACCCGUGAAAUUAUGAGGCAUAGUAGUCAAAAGAGACUCAGCUUCUCUUUCAGCACAUAACAACUGCUCACGAAAUUCUCUUAGUGUGAUAGAAGUAUCCCAAGUAAGAAUCAUUGUCCUGAUGGUAAAGUAUUCUCUAGGCAACCCAGAUAAAGCAGCCAAGACAAAGUCAUUAUCCGAAACAAUCUCUCCAGCAUUAAGUAAUUGUUCUUUAAUGACCUUAAGCUUUGACAAGAAUUGAUCUAUGGAAUCACCUCCUUUCUGCACAGUGUGAAACUCAGUCUUAAGAGUAUUAACUCUAGCCUUGGAAACUGAUGCAUACCUAUCUUGUAAGUUAAACCAAGCAUCAUGUGCAGUUCUGCAUCCAAUAACAUGCUCAAUUGCUUCAUCAGACAAGGUAGCAAGAAGUAAACUUAACAAUGCCAUAUCAACAGAUUCCCACUCCAAGAAAGCUUCAUUAAUUGUUGUAGUAACCCCAUUUUCCGGAUGAACAACAUAUUUUGAAUGACACACAGCAGAACCGUCAAAGUGAUCAAACAACUUAUACCCUUUCAAAACGGAUUUAAACUGAAAAGCCCAUUUAGAAAAAUUUCGAUCAUUCAAUUUAAUCAUCAACAUCCCCAAAAAUCCCUCAAUUUUCACACCAGGAACAGUCAUGAUUUACAGAUCAAAGGAUUGCACAGAGAUAACACCAAUUGAAAACCUAAGAAUUGCAGAACACCAGAGAAUGGCUUCGUAUUCAAGAACAACCAAAAAUAGCUUCGUGCCUCAAAACAAAUUUAACAAGAUUCACGACUUCAGCAAGAAAAAUGGCUUUGUGCCCUAACAAUCCAACAAGAAAAAUGGCUUUGUGCCUCAACAAUUCAUCAAUUCAACAAGAAAAUGGCUUCGUGCCCCAACAAUCCAUCAAUUCAACAAGAAAAUGUCUUCGUGCCCUAAAACUUCAACCAGAAAUUCACCAAAUGAAACAUAUCACCUGAGAUUGACAUGUAUUCAGAUCCAAAACUACAGAAUCUUCAGCUUUUCAUGCCCACAGCAGAUCGACGACUCUGAUACAUAUGUAUCUCCAGCUAUUCAUAGCUAUGAAAAGGAAGAAAAGGAUUCGGAAGAAGAAAAGAAGAAAAGUAUUUGAGAAAUAGAGAGUAAUCUACUGAUUGUAUUGAAUGAAUGAAAUGUAUAUUGUUUACAAUGCUUUUAUAACCAUCCCACACUUUUACUUACGAAACUAUCCUUUCUUAUCUCUAAGAUUCUAACUAACCACAACCAAUUACACCCAUCUCCAACCAUAUAAUUCUGACAUGUCAGCUACCAUUGAAAUACUGCCAUGUGUCACUUAUCAGUGCUCCUAUCUAUUUCAUGGGCAGUUUCAGCUGAUCAUGAGACCUUUGUUCAUUGCCUUCUAAACCAUUCCCAACCCUCUCACCCAAUUGCCCCAGCAAUUCACACUUCCAACAAUGCUUCCUACUCAUCCGUUUUGGAAUCUUACAUCUGAAACCUCCGAUUCAACACAUCUACAACCCAAAAACCCUUCCUCAUCCUCACUGCAUUGCAUGAGUCCCACGUGUAAAUAUCCGUUGUUUGUGCCCAAAUCCAUAACUUUCAAAUGAAGAUUAGAAGUGGAGGCCAUGAUUUUGAGGGUUUAUCAUACGUGGCUGAAUUUCCAUUCUUCAUCCUUUACAUGUUUAAUCUUCGAUCCAUCCACGUAGACAUCAAAUCCGAGACUGCAUGGGUCCAGGCUGGGGCUACUCUUGGUGAACUUUACUACAGAAUUGCUGAGAAAAGCAAAAUCCAUGGCUUUCCUGCUGGUGUUUGCCCUACAGUUGGUGUUGGAGGCCACUUCAGUGGCGGUGGAUAUGGUAAUAUGAUGGGAAAGUACGGCUUGUCAGUUGACAACAUAGUUGAUGCACAACUUGUAAAUGUGAAUGGUGAACUUCUCGACCGAAAAUCAAUGGGAGAAGACCUUUUUUGGGCCAUUACAGGAGGCGGAGGAGCCAGCUUUGGAGUUGUGAUCGCGUACAAACUUAAUCAUGUACGUGUUCCAGAAACAGUUACUGUUUUAAAGGUUCCGAGAACCCUAGAACAAAAUGCAACGGACAUUGUCUAUCGUUGGCAAUAUAUCGCGGAUAAGCUUGACAAUGACUUGUUCAUCAGGCUUAUCAUGGAUAUUGUAAAUGGUACUACUUCAAAUAGUAGUGGAGAAAACAAUAAGACUCUUAGGGCUUCAUUUAUUGCCAUGUUUCUCGGAGACUCUGAGAGGCUCCUCUCAAUCAUGGACAAGAGCUUCCCUGAAUUGGGUAUGAAGCAAUCUGAUUGCAAUGAAAUGAGCUGGGCUCAAUCUGUGCUUUUCUGGACGAGCUUCCCAACCGGGACAGCAACUGAAGCUUUGCUUUCAAGAACACCUCAAGUGCUUACACACUUCAAGAGAAAGUCAGACUAUGUCAAAAAACCAAUUCCAAAAACUGGUUUGAAGUGGAUUUUUUAGAAAAUGAUUGAGCUUGAGACACCAUUGUUGACCUUCAACCCCCCACGAAGGAAAAAUGAGUGAGAUAUCGGCGUCGGCAACUCCAUAUCCUCAUAGAGCUGGGAAUCUCUGGAUGGUUCAGUAUGCAACAAACUGGAACAUACAAGGGCCUGAGGCAUCAGAUCAUUAUAUUGAUCUGACAAGAAAACUCUACAUGUACUUGACUCCUUUUGUUUCCAAGAAUCCAAGGAAAUCCUUUUACAGCUACAAGGAUCUUGACAUUGGGAUCAACCAUAAUGCUAAUGGCAUUGCAAGCUAUUUGGAGGGGAGAGUUUUUGGCAUUAAGUACUUCAAGCAUAACUUUGAUAGGUUGGUGAAUGUGAAGACCAAGGUCGAUCCUGGUAAUUUCUUUAGAGCAAUUCCACCCAUGGAGCCCUUCCCCCUGGCAAUCCACUAUUCAAUCCACCCUAUUAAACAGUAACUGCCUUAAAUGAAUAGUAACUACUAUUAAUGAACAGUAAUUGCCAUUUACAUCUCCACCCUUGCAACCCUCCCCCUGGCAAUAAGCAAUUAAAAUAAUAGUUUUUUUUGUUUGUUUAAAUAAUAAAAAACCCCUCUCUCUCUCUGACACAAAAAAAAAAAACAAUUACAAAGCCCUCGGGCCACAGGCCCGUCGACUUCCCCCCCCCCUUCGCUCGGCCUCCCACCCUCACUCGGGCCCUUCCCCGCUGGAGCUGCUCCCACCGGCCCUCAGGCCCUUUCUCCUCCCCUAUCGCCCGAGCAACCAACAUCCGCUGGAGUUGCUCUUAGGAAUGAACAAAGUAUCCCACCACUUCCAUACAGUCAUUAUUUAGCUUCUUGUUGUGCAUGUUUUUUUUCUAUUGCUUUGGGGUUAGUUAUGUACAUCUUUAAUCAGCCAAAGAAAUAAAAAAAGAAGAAAGAUAUUGCUUACAAGAUUGCAAUUUGUUAGUACUUAAUUAUUACAAGUUUCAAGAAAAAUCUCUCCAAAAAUUGACAAAUUAGUAGGCUUUCUGGGAUUUCACUUUUCUAACUCUUGUUAAAAAAUUUACUUGUUUAUUUAAAGACAUUCCGUCAUUGAAAAUUUAGUAGGGACUAAUUGGCUUUUUCUACUUGCUUUGAUCAACAUGUUGUAGCAUGUCUCACAUUGGUAUCUUGAUUAAUUAUACAUACAACUUAUAUUGAACGAUUCUAUUACUAAUUACAUCAUGCCCCUUUGCAUAAAAUUUCACACAUAGUGAAUGACACAUGUGGUUAAGUUUGAGACAAUAGAGUUAUCUUCGUGUGCGUGGCCCACUAAAGAGGACAUGUUAAAGCAUGUCUAACAUCGUAAACAUGAGGGGGGGGGCACAAUGUCGUUGCAUGGGGAUGCGAUUCGCCAAGCUGAGCCAAACAAAACAGUCUGCCCACCCCCCCCCCCCCAAAAAAAAAACCACCGGAUUAGGAAUGCGAAGGCCUCCCCUUUUCUAUCACUUUGUUUGAGAAUUACAUACAACUGAUAUUGAUUAAAUUACAUACAAUUUAUAUUGAAUGAUUCCACUAUUAAUUAUAUUGACCUUUUUUAUGAGACUCAUACCUUUUAAAUUGCACAUUUUGUUAAGAAGACAAUAUUAAUAUAUGGAUCAUUUCUAUUUUCUUCUGUCUCUUGAUCUUGGGAUAAAUAGUAUACAUAGAGUAGUUUGGUUCAACUGAAGUGACACCGUGAUCAAUAUCGAUAUCUAAUCUACAAGGAAAUAUAUACGCAUCUAAAUUGGAUUCCUUUUUUUUUUUUUUUUUUUUUUUAGUUUGGUUCAACUGAAGUGACACCGUGAUCAAUAUCGAUAUCUAAUCUACAAGGAAAUAUAUACGCAUCUAAAUUGGAUCCUUUUUUUUUUUUUUUUUUUGGGGGGGUGAAAAAGAAAAAUCCCAGUUGGUUGGUAUGGCCUAUGGUCUUUUACUCCUAAAAUUUUGAAUUCUCCUUGUGCCAAAAAAUUUAAAAGUUGUCAGCGAUGCGGGAACUGUGGCCACUUACUUAUUCCCCAUCCAUCUCAACCCUUGCCAUAGAUUGAACCUCAAUUAUUUAACUCCCAACUCCUUUAAUAAUUUCGAGCCUGUGGCCCCAAACAUUUACCUCUACCUGGUGAACGGGUUCACCGUUCACGUGCUAAGCCACUAAUACAAUGUAUAUGCAUAUUUGUUUGAAAAUAAUUUGUAUUAGUGGUUUAAGACGUCAUGACGAUGAUAAACUUGUUUUAUGAAAGUUUCUCUCAUCAAUUAUCUCAUGUGAACCUCAUUUUUUUAUCAGAUUUUGUCAGUGGAGACCUUGCAAUUCACGUGUGUUGCUUUUAUUUGUAUAUAUUUAUAUGUAAAUUAUACAAAACUACUUCAAAUAUGUGUCGAACCACAAUCUCAUACUUAAUGUUUUAAACAUUACAAUGUCAUACCUUAUCUUACGAAUUCAUUGCCAUAUCAUACUUCCGUAAAAUUUUAUGUUAACUUUGAUUGUUAAAUGAUGAGAUGACACGUGCGGGACCUACAUACUCACCCAAUUGAAUUAAAAAAUUGAUUAAAUAUUAAUAACCAUUAAAAAAAAGAAAAUUAAUUAAAAUAGUUUGAAAACUUUAAUUUUAACGAUAAAAACAAAAUAAAUGGUAAAAUGAAUAGUAUCAAGAUUGACUUUUUACUGUAAAAAUAUAAUUUUUCGUUAAAAUAAACUGUACUGAGAACUUUAGGUUAAAGUUUAUUUAAAAAAAUUAUUAAACAAAUUGCGGGACCCACCUCCACCACCUACUUUAUCCCCACUCCAUACGUCCCCCUCCCUUUUUCCCUCUUUCUGUUCCAGAAACCCUCCCCCACCAUUUUUCCUCUGCAAUUCUCCCCCGCAGCCCCAACAACAAAACCCACCGCCAUUGUCUCUUCCUUGUCCUCGGGGAAACUCUCUUCCUCACUCACUCACUCAUUUCUUCUCUUCCACUCCUGCAACUCCCAAUUCACUCAUUACCAUUCCCGUCUUCGCCACUCUCUCUUCCCCUUUAGAAAACCCGCCUCUGGCCCAAGAUGGGCCCAACGGUUCUACUCGGAAGCCUAUUAGCCUUUCUUCGGGAAUGUACCAGUCGCCGGUGACAAUUGCGUUGUGGGAAGCGAGGUUGAAGAUCUUCGAGAGGUUCUUUCUGGACCCGCCCAAAGACGCGCCGUCACAUAACAGGACGAAGAUUCUCUACAGUGCAUUUGUUGGUGUUUCAAAAACGUCGUUGAUGGUGAGGAGGGAGCCUCAGCAAACUCCGGUUGGUGUUGCGAGAAAUUCCUCUGAUUCGGGCCGGGUUAGGUCGUUUGUUGUACCUUCUGCAUGCUCAGGUCUGCAAACUCCAGUUGGUGUUGCAGAUUCGGCAGAUCAGACCUGAAAUCGAACCGAAAAAAUGGUUCGCCUCGAGCCAGGUGCACGGGUCAAUGGAGGUGGAGUUCCAGGUGGUGAUCUUGUUGGAUGGUUAGAUGGCUUUGUUUCUCUGCAAGUGAGAAACAAAGCUAGGAGGUGUGCUGAGCAAUGGCGUGGUCAGAAAUUAUUCGACUGGUGGGCUAACCUAAUAUUAUUAGUCCGAAAUCAAAAUUUAAUCCUAUUUUUUCUACAUAAAGUUAUAUAAUAGUAAAAACUUGAAUGUAGUAAUUUGAAGCAAGAAAUUUAUGCUAUGUUUUAUAGGUUUCUAGCCUUCAAACUUUCCAUUGAAUAAAAUAAGGAACUAUUUGUGGUAUGAAAGUUUUAAUUUAUUACUAUUAAAUAUAAUAUUAGUUAAAGUGAUGAGUUUAUUUAACAUUUAUUAGUUCUUAUUAUUCUUAAAAACAACCUUAUUAAUAAUAAAAUUUCAUUUCCUAAAUGAAAUAUGACAAAUAAAAAUUAUAAACUAACUCAAAAAUUAAUAUUUUUAAGCUUGAAGAACCAAUUGUACUUGACUCCGCCCUUGGUGCUGAGGUUCGGCCAUGGCUGCCUUUUUUCAAGUGAGAGCAGAGAGAGAGUGAGGGAGACAAGUGAGAGGGGAGAGAAUAAUUGAGGAACAGAGUUCUUUUAUUUAAUUGUUAAAUAAAAAUAAUAAUUUAUUAUUAAUUAAUUGUUUUUUUUUUCUAGUUGGAAAAGGAUGGGUCCGUUCCUACUACAUCAUCAUUUAACAGUCAAUUGAUAGAAAAUUUAACAGAAGUUUGACAUUGUAACAAAUUUAUAAGUUGAGGUAUGACAUUGCAAUGUUUAAAACAUGAAGUAUGAAAUUGUGUAGUUCGACUCAUAAUUGAUGUAGUUUUGUGUAAUUUACCUUAUAUUUAUUUAUUUAUUAAUUUACCAUUAUUGAUCCAACAGUUGUGAUUUAAACCAUAGAACAUGAAGUACAAUUCCAACUGUGAUUAGCACCUAAUUAAAAUAUCGUAUAAAAAAUUUAAAAUAUAUAUAUAAAUUGAAGGAAAAAAAGAAAAAAACCCAAAAGUCCCCUUCGUCCCCAUCCCUUCUUCGCACCUGAACCCAUCCCCCAUCAGCCAUCAGCCAUCCCCUUCUCCCAUCCCCCAUCCCCCUCUCUCUUCCUAUACCCUCUCUUCCUGUACCCUCUCUUCUUACUCCCGUAUUCUCUCCCCCUUUCUCCUUUUCAAUUCACGAUGCAACAGCAGCCAAUUCUUUCUCUCUUCCUCUUUUCCUCUCUUCCUCUCUUUAUACCCAGUUGUGAAGGUGCUUGUAAUUUAAAGGAUGUUAAGUUGCUGACUCUUUUUUUGUAGAAGCUGCUGCUUUGAGAUUUGGCCUUUUCCAAGCCAAGCGUGCAUGUUACUCAGGGUUGGAGCCGCAGCUAAUCCACAACAAUGUGAAGUCGAGUAAUGUGCUGCUGGACCGCGGAGGCUAACUGAAAUCAAAGAAUCAGGUAGUAGUGAUUGUGAUUGAUGACGUGCCCAAGUAGGAGGAGCCGGAGAGCUACGGAUUUGCCUCUUUUGCUAUCGACCUCGAUGGUCACGACGGCUCCGAUGGCCUCUUCGAUUCGUCCCCAACGUUGGCGUCGUGGUCAACGACUACCUCUCGUUCUUUAAUUUGUUCAAACAUUAGAAACCACAAUUUCAGGGACAUCUGCAACACUAUCUUCAGUUAACAAACCCCUCGGGUGGAGAAGAAAACUUGGGAUGGGGUGGGUUUUUGGAUGGGAGGGGAGAUGAAGAGAGUGGAGGAGAUGGACGUGGGUCAGGGGAAUGGAUUUAUGGGUUCCAUUUUUUUUUUUUUUAAUUUUAAAUAGGAUAAAUUAUUGUAAUUUUUAAAUGCAUAAAAAAAUUCUUUUUUUACCACGUGACACACAUUUAGCAAUCACGUCAGCUCUUAACGGGCCAAUGGAUGGAAAAUGUAACGGUAACGGUUGUAUUAUAUUGAAAUAAAAUAGUAUUUGAGGUACGAAAGUGAAAUUUUUAAAGAUGUUGUAUAAGGUUGCAAUAGAUUUAAAACCGAAGGUGGUAAAGUGUAAUUUACCCUUUUUUUUCCAGUUCCUUUUCACUUCAUUUUCUCUGUCCGUUCAACACUAUCUCGCUUGCCGCCGUCAAUACAAUGGCGUCCUAAGUGGGAACCUACGUCGGGUGCCUUAUCGACAACCUGAGGUGGUAAUAUGAUUUCCGGAGCACAGUUGCCGUGUUAGCCUUCUAUUUGGAUCGCGAGAAUUUGGUAUCCAUUUUCUGGGAAUCUAAGAGAAGGCUUCAGUGGUGAGACUUUCAAACAUGAAUAUCUCAGUACGCUGAUACUGAUGGACCAAUCAUUUAAUUGAAAAGUCGAACAAGUGGUGUGAUAAUGUCGGCUCAUCAGGCGGUGGGUCGUCGUCGAUUUUUGUCAGUAAAACAGCUAAUAGAAUGUCCUCUCUCUCUUUCUCAGUCUCUCUAGCUAUUUCUCAUUCUCUCCGUCUAAGCUUCAACUUUCUAGAUUCGACGGGCGACAUAUUGUUGAAGGGUAGUAGCAAACCUUCCAUAAAUGCAGCAGCAUACCCGGUUUCGCAAGUUCGAAAGAUUUGAGGGGCAUAAUCCGGACUUUCAGUGGCGAUUUCAGACGAAUGAAGGGGCGGUCCCUCUGUAGCUUCGCCAAUGGGUGAUAGGUCUUGGCAGUCUGGAAGGUGGUGUGGUGGUUUGCGUUGGUUAAGGGUGGGGAUGGGUGUGUGCUUUGGAUGGUUGAAUCAUGGGAGGCAGAUGGGAAAAGCAGGGCAAUUUCGGUAGAGAAGUUUGAUUCCAGAUGUUGGCUUUCUUUCAGAAUUCAAUUACCACCUUCAAGUCAGUAUUUGGAUUCUGGGGAUAUUAGGAAUCCGAUUAUUGAUUUUGGAUGGAGCCUACUAAUUUUUUCAUUCCCAAAAUUUGGUCAAUGCCAGAAUCACUUGGAGAAAAAUUUCAUUCCCUUUCUUCUACCUCCAUUCCGAUUUGAUAAACGCGUGGUGAAGACCAUGUCAUCCAUUGGAGAUGCCCUAACAAAAUUAUUUUGUUAGAUGGACUAUGAAACUCAUGUUAAAAAAAAAAGGAAAAGAAAAAGACCAAUGCUAAACAAUCAUGGAAUCCAUUUUAUUUUUUCUUGAGACAAAACGAGGUCUCCAAGUCAAAGUAGACCAUGCCCCAAUAGGCUACAGAAUUUAGAUAAAUUAAGCAAAUCCACUCCUAGCUAAUUGUACACCAGGGGCUUCCUUUACAAUACAUCAAAUCAAUAAUAUUACAAACAUCAAUGUAAUUAUCGAGCAUGACGUGAUAGACCAUACUGCAUGUAAUUCAUUGUCAAACCUUCCGUUCUCUCUCGUAGCUAAACAGGUGGGAUACUUUGUUCAUGCUUGAAAAAAUUAUGAGGAUCAACCAUGGUUUUCACACGUACCAGUCUAUCAAAAUUACCUUUAAAAUACUUGCUCCCAUAAAUCUUCGCAAUCUGAAAGUUAGUCUGAUUAUCCAGAUUAGCCCCAAUUUCUAGAUCCCGGUAGUUUUGGAAGGCCUCUCUUGGGUUCUUGGAGACAUAUGGAGUCAUCAGGUCAAACAACUUUCUUGAUAAUUGAAGGUACUUGCUGGCUGCCUCAACACCUUCCUCUACCCAUACCGCAUAGUAUUGAAUCAAAAAUAGGUUUCCAGCUCUGUGAGGGGACGGAGUUGCCGACUCAGGAAUCUCGCCCAUUCUUCCACCGUAAGGGUUCCAGUCCAUCCAAAAAUUGUCUAUCUUAAUCAUCUCCUUCCAUAAGGAUUCUAUAACUCGUUUCGGAAUCGGUUCGUCACAUAGUCAGACUUGGCUUUGAAGAAGCUUGGUUGUCCAUUUGUCCUGUUGAGAAGAGUAGUUAUCGGAGUUCCAAAUGGGAAAUCAGCAAAGAACACUAUGUUUUCAAUCCAGCUCAUUUCGAAACAAUCUCUUCGUUGCAAACCUAAUUCGGGCAAGCGCUCCUUUACCAACGGAAGAAGCUUGUUAGUUCGUCCCAAAAAAAGACCAAUGAAUGAUACUUUCACAGUCUUCUUUCUCCCGGUGCUGUUCACUUGUAGUGGCCUUACUCUGAGGAAGAGGUCUUUAGGCAGCAGGGGUGCUGCGUAUUGCCAUUUAUAAACGACAUCUGUAGCCCCUUGCUCUAAGGUUAUUGAGACGUUGAACACAGUCACUUUAGCUGGAACCGAAACCAACUUGAGCUUCCACGAGAGAAUGACCCCGAAACUAGCUCCACCGCCUCCUCUAAUAGCCCAGAAAAGAUCUUCUCCCAUUGAUUUUCUAUCAAGGACUCUACCAUCUGCAACAACUAUCUUAGCAUCAAUAAUAUUAUCGAUGCUAAGGCCAUAUUUACGCAUCAAAGAGCCAUACCCGCCGCCACUAAAGUGACCACCAGCACCAACAGUUGGACCAACCCCAGCAGGAAACCCUAGAACGUUGCUUUUCUCAGCAAUUUUGUAAUAAACUUGGCCAAGGGUAGCUCCGGACUGAACCCAAGCGGUCUUCUCCGCAACAUUAACAUUAAUGGAUUGGAGUUGAAACAUGUCAAGAAUGAUAAAGGGUACAUGGGACACGUACGAUAGACCCUCGUAAUCAUGGCCACCACUUCGGAUUCUGAUUUGCAAUCCUUGCUGUUUUGCACAUAGAACAGUUGCUUGAACAUGGUACUCGUGCUUGGCUGCUACAAUGGCCAAAGGUUUUGGAGUUGUGGAUGUAGAAAAUCUGCGGUUUUUAAUACGGUCCGACAGAACAGAUUGAAACGAGGUGUUUUGAGGGGUGUAAAUGCCUGCAUGGAUUGAGCUGGUAGACUGAGAUUGUUUAGAAAGGCAUUGCAGAAAGUCAUCAAUAUUGACAAGUGGAUCUGAAGUUGCCCAUGAAACUGUGACGACUGAAAGGAUUGAGAGAAUGGCGAGUUGAAAUGGAGAGCUUGGGAACUUCAUUAUUGUUGAUUUCUGGCAGUGUGACAAAACAAACGACUUCGGAGUAUUUAUAAAGAAGCCAAAGCACCAAACUUUGACUCCGUUUGUGCAUGGUAAUUAAAAUAUGGGUGCUUUAGAUUUAGCCCCUUACAACUGUUGAACUCUAGACAUAAACCCACCUGUAUUAAAACAUCUAAAUCAAAAUCAAAAUUUGAAUUUGAUGUCAUGUAAGAUAAAAGAUGUCCAUACAUUUAAAUUUAUUUACAACACCAUGCCACCUAGGGGUGGGUUCAAAAAACCGAAAACCAAACCGAACCGAAACCGAAAAAACCGAACCGAACGAAAAAAUCGAACCGAAUUGAAAAAACCGAACCGAAACGAAUUCUUUUGGUUCGGUUAGGUUUUAGUGAUCUAGAAACCGAACCGAACCGAAUUAAUUAAAUUAAUUUUUUUAUUUAAUUAUUUGUUUUGGGUAUUAUUUUCUAAACCCAAUUUGUAAGUUAAAAUGUGCUAAACCCAAUGUAUUGCCAAACUUUAAGCUCAAAAUAUUUAAAAAAAUGCCUAUAAAAACUCUAAACCCUAACCUAUUAUUUCUCCCCUAUAUAAGGUUCCGGAACUAAACCUCCUCCUGAAGUAUCUACAUCCAUCUCCAUAGCACUGUCUACUUCUGCCCCGGCUUUCUUUUCCAAAUCUACUCUCAUAUAACAUGUAACAAAAUCCAUAAACAUUUAUUUCGGGUAGAUUACUUGGGUAAUUUGUGAUGGAAAAGAAUCCAACACACACUAAAUAAAUCUACACACGCAUUACUUUUACUAAUUAAGUUGUCAACAUGCAGUUACAAGCAAACAACCCUGAUCUUUGAACAACAUCAUACAAUUUAACUUUUCUAAGUCAUUUGUACGAUUUUUGUGCUGUGAGGUUGUUAGUUUGGACUUUGGAAUACUUGAUUGAUGAUUUUAGUUCAACUUUAAAUGUUUAUUUUCAUUGUCUUUGAUUUUAGUAAGAAUGCUUAUGUUAUGAUUGUGUUGCAUAUGUUAAAAUUUAAAAUUUGAAUGUUUUUCAUUUUUUGAAAAAAACAAAACAAAAACAGAAACCGAACCGAAACCAAACAGGAAAAAACCGAACCGGAAAAAAACCGAACAAAAAAAAUGAACCGAACCGAAAUUUCAGUUUCGUUUCAAUUUUGGCAAAAAACCAAACCGAUUUAAACCGAACCCACCCCUAAUGCCACCAACAUUAAUAUGACUAUUACGGUUUUUUUUUUGUAGACUUUUAAUUUAUUGUCUUUGUUUGUCAACAACAUUCAAUUAGUUCAAGUUUUUUUUGCUUUUAAUUUAAAAAAAUAAGGAAGUUCUUUUCUUCUUUUAUGUGAAAUCGCCUAAUCCAAAUCUAAUUAGUUCAAUAUACAUUCUAUUGAAAAAGUAGAUACAUUAACUUGUGAAUUUUUUUUUAAAAAAAAAAGGUAAAAAUAAACUAGUAGAUACAUUGUUUUUUUGCAUAUAUGGGUUUGUUAUUAUGUAGGUAAAUUAUUUUUCAUGUAUUUUACAUACACUGGGUAUAUUAUUUUUCUUUUUUUAAGCAAUCUAACAUUUAAAAUUUUUAAUAGUGGGUGCACUGUUUGAAUCAAAUGUUUUUUUUUUUGUAGGGAAAUUAUUUUGCAUGAAUUUUACAUAUAUCAGGCAUUUAUAUAUGUGUGUGUGUGAGAGAGAGAGAGAGAGAGAGAGGGAAAUAAUUUACCUACAUUAAUAUGUAAAAUAUAAUUUUAUUGACUUAAUUAAGCAUGUAUAAUAACAUAUAUUAGACCUGUUUUAUGUUAUUAUAUAUUAGGCAAUGAAUUUAUAACAUUAUUGUUUUUUUUUUGGUAAAAUCAUUAAUUCUCUCUUAUCAUCCAUCUGCAUGGCAUUAAUUAUAUAUCAAACAUUCAAAUAGGGUUUAUAAAAAAAUAAAAAUAUUCAAAUAGGGGUAUUUUAGGCAUCCGAAUUUUUUUAAUUUGUGAAGUCAAACAUAAUUAAUGAAUUUGCUGAUAUGAAAUCUAGUCAAUGGUUUUAUUCAAGAAAAAAACUUAUCUCAGGUUUUAUGUAGAGAAAAUUAAAAUUUUAGAGCUAAAGUCAUAUUUUCAGUUAAAAUAUCAAUCAAAUUUCAUUGAGCGAAGGAGUUGAUGUGUGGCGGAGAAUUCAGGUUUAUCUGUUACUCGUUUGUUGAGGGAAUCUAACUUUUAAUCGAAUAAUACCAGAGGGUACGGGCAAUUUCGGUUUCGCCAUAAAUUAUUUGUCUUCUACACAAACACAAAGAGCAUGAAUGAAUGUUAUGGAAGGAGACGCAAGUGUCAGUAUUUAGGCCCAGUAUUUAAGUCGUGGGUCAACGCGGAUUUGAAAAAUGGUGCACGUUUUUGAUGCGAUGAUGCGAAUCAAGCAUACAUACAAGUAUAUCCCACCCAAAAAAUAAAAGCGUAUGGUCCCGGCCAAAAUAACCUUCUCUCUUUUUUUUAAUCUAUAUGUACCUUGAGAGUUGGAUCAUAUAUAGUUAAUAAGAUUAUAAACUAGUACAAGAUUUUAAUGAAACUUCGUUUUUUAUUUUUUAUUUUUAUUUUUUUAUCUGAGUGUCGUAACAGAGGGCCGUGAAAUUAUUAUUCGUUUCAUUUUAGUUUCAUAGUUUGGUAAAAUAUGGGAUUCAAUUAUGUUUUAUGAAGAGAAGAAUCAUAAAUAGAAAAGCGUCUAUGGCAAUCAGUAAAGGAUAAGUUGGGCACGAGAGAUUUUUCAGUGUGACCGGUACACGGAGUGGUAUACCACGUGUUACUACACAAAUGAUUGGAUAUGUGUGAUAAAAAGUUAACUUAAAAAAUAAAAUUUCCCACCACAUAUAUAAAAACACGUGAUGUACCAUCUGUGUUCCGAUCACAAUGAAAAAAUUCUCGUUGGGCACAAGUAGGGGUGGGCACUUGGAACCGAAAACUGAAACCGAAACACGAAUUGAAUCGAAGAGCACCAAACGGUUUGGUUUUGUGGUUUUGAAAAGGUUUCGGUUUCGAAACCAAACCGCGGCAAAGAAAACAGUUUGGUUUCAAUUUUUGGUUUUCGAAAUCGAAACCGAAAUUGAAACCGCAUGUUAUGUUUUCAACUAGGUUACUGGACUAUCAUCCAAUUUUUCACUUCGAGUCCUGAAGGCUGAAACUCAUCUUCAUCUCUCUCAAAAGUCAAAACCCAUCUCCAUCACUUUCACAGUCGACAUUAGUGCCCUAAACUCAUUAUGUGCGACAUGGCUGCUUGCAUCUCUGCGACCUCACCGCUUGCAUCCUCAGAUCCCAUUCAUUUGGGAGCCCUGUAUUCUGCAAAUCAAAAGCUUUGCAAAACAAACUUGACAAAUCAUUCACCUGCUCUUUGUCACAUCCCGGCCCGGGAUAGAUCACUUCCCGGGCCCGCUCCACCACCGUAGCAUGAUAUUGUCCGAUUUGGGCUCCGACCACGCCCUCACGGUUUUGUUUCUGGGAACUCACGAGCAACUUCCCAGUGGGUCACACAUCAUGGGAGUGCUCUAGCCCCCUUCUCGCUUAACUUCAGAGUUCCUACGGAACCCGAAGCCAGUGAGCUCCCAAAAAGCCUCGUGCUAGGUAGGAAUGGGAAUAUACAUUUAAGGAUCGCUCCCCUGGGCGAUGUGGGAUGUCACACUCUUCGUUCCAGCUAAUAUGGUAAGAACUUGGAACUUGUAUUAGUAAGUUUAGUUAAUAAUUUGUAAUUAAAUUAAUUUUAUAGUUAGGGUUCGUUUGAAUCAAAGAUUCAAAAAGGGAACUGGGAGCACUUUCUUCGAGUAUUCUGCAUACCACAUUAUAUAUUGAUAGCAAAAUCAAGAAUUUUCAUUAAUGCAGUUUUUCUUACUCAUAGGACAAUGAAAACUCUGAAGUUAAGCAACUUAUUCAACUCAAGAACUUUUUCCUCUCUUUCUUUCUUGUUUUGUAAAUCGUCUAUUAUUGAUUUUCUAUUUUCAUUGUUCUUUUGUUCUUUCUUGUUUUGGAGCAUUGUUGCGUAUGAGUUCUUUUGUUAUGUUUUCAUUGAUUUUUUGUUUUGUUGUUCUCUAGUCAGUAGUCAGGUGUAGUUCUAAGUUGUAGCAGAAAACUGGUGGAUUAAAUUUAAAGUCAUUUUAUGCAAGAGGCUUGAAAGUCGUCUUUCAAUUAAUGGUUAAAUUCCACAUGCCAAUCUAACAAAACAAACUCAUUAAUAUCAUGGCAUUGAAAUUCAAAGUUAGGACAUUACUUUAUUAAUUACUAUUAAUAUUAGGGUACCAAAUUGACAGGUUAAAGUUGAACUGAACUGCCCCAACUAGGGUUGAAAUAAAAUGGCAUAAUUACAUAUGGUCAGAGAGGUUUUCUUUAAUGCUUGUGUUGUGUGUUGUAGAUUAUGUGCAUUCCAUUCCUUUAAGAUAAUGAGCAUUUCGUAUUUUAUUUCAAUCAAGAUAUGAAGAAUUGCAGCAAGCAUAGUGGGAUUAGUCACUCUUCUACGGGGGACUCCCCUGAGAAGCCAGAGGACGAGGCAAUAGAAAUUGACUUGAAAAAUGAAAUAGAUGUUGAAGGUGACCCUGAAAAUGACGGCGAAGAAUUUGAGGGCGAAGAUGAAAAAGUAAGUAACUUUGAUUCAAGAAAACGUAGUUGGGUUUGGGAUCAUUUUACAACAUAUUGUGUGACGAAAAAACAGUCGAAAAUUAAUGAAAAGGGGGAGAAAUAUUUGGCCGAAGUAAAACGUAGGAGAGCUAAAUGUAAUUAUUGCCCAAAACAGAGCAGUGUGGGUGACUAUGCAGCUGAAGCGAGAGUUAAUGGCACCACAAGCAUGAGAUACCACAUUGAAAGAUAUUGUAAAUUUUACCAAGGGAAUAGAAGUAAAAAGCAAAAUAUAUUGCGUGCCCUUUAUGAUGAAUAUGCUCCCAAUGUUGAAGGUGGAAAAUAUAUGAAGAAAUCGGAAAAUUUACAAUCACAACCUUCUUCUACCUCAUCUAAUGUGGCUAUGACGGAAGAUGAUCUAAUUGAUGAAUUGAUGCAUUUUGUUGAAGAUAGUGAUGAUAAAGUGGUGGGAGAUGAGGUGGAUUCUUUGUUUGAUCCUUUGGUACAAAUUACAAAAGAGGAGUCCACAAAGCAUUUUAACAUUCUCCUAUGGUGGAAGGUGAAUGGUAACAAGUAUCCUAUCUUGGCCGCAAUUGCAAAAGAUAUUUUUGCAAUUCAAGUUUUGAUCGUGGCAUCGGAGAGUGCUUUUAGCAUUGGUGGUCAAGUGAUUUCGGAUUUUAGGAGUUCUUUAACUCCUAAAUUGGUGGAAGCCUUGAUAUGCAUGCAAAAUUGGUUGAAGGGCGAUAAUAUUAUUACUUUGGAGGAUGAUGCACUUUCAAUUGACCAUAUUGAGUUCUAUGAAAGUAUUGAAUCAGGUAAGUAUAUCAUUUGAAGUAAAAGAACUUUCUCGUUUUCUUUUUUCAACUAAACAUUAAUUAUAUUUUUUAUGUUUUGUAUUGUGUAGAGUUGGCCAAAUCAGCUUCAAGCAUUGCCUCUCUUGAUCCACAACCACAACAAGCUCCAAAGCAAUCUCAAUGUUCUAAUUCACAAAAGCCUCCCAUUUUGCGUUUACAAGGUGCAAGGCCUUCACAAGCUCAAAGGCCUCCUAAACCUUCAAAGAAUAAGUGUCCAAAAGGAAAAGGAAAGACAAAGGUUUGAAACUUGAACGAUGCAAUGUAAGUUGAAAACCAAGACCUUGUUGAAUUCCAUGAACCAUUUAUUUAUUUUUUGUUGUAUUAAUGCCAUAAGGCAUUUUGACAUUGAACUUUGUUUGAAACAUUGAAGUUUGAACUUUAGUUGUAUUAUGGCAAACUUAACUUUUCAAUUGGGUUGUAGUAAAGUAUUGUGAUUGGUGAUCAAGUUGAAUUUUAGUAGAUGUGAUGCGUAAGGAUUUAAAGUUUAAACCCAUUGAUGCAUUGGAUGUUGUCUCAAUUUUAGUAGUUGUCAUUUGUUGCAGUUUUGGUACAAGUUUGGUACAUGUUAGUUGCUUUUUUUGCUGCAGUUUUGCUACAGUAUUAGACGAUAUGGGGUGACUGAUGCUACAUAUGACUGAUGCCGACUAAUGUUGCUUACUGAUGCUGCAUAUGACGGUGCAUAUGGAUAUUACACGAUAUAAGGUGACUGAUGCUGCAGUAUUAGACGAUAUGGGAUGAUUGAUGCUGCAUACAACUGAUGCUACAUAAUGAUGUUGCAUACGACUGAUGCUGCAUAUAGAUAUUAGACGAUAUGGAGUGACUGAUGCUGCCAAAUUUUAUGUUUCUUUCCUCUUUCCAUGGGAUUCUCAAUUAAGUCUAAUCCCUUAAUUUGAAGAAGAUUGACAUCUAGAUGUUGCCAAAGUUUAUGUUUCCUCUUUUUUUUUUUUUUUUUUUGCAGUUUUGCCACUAUUUGUUGCUGCAUUGUUGUUGCUGUUUUUGCUGCAUAUUCAUUAAUUAAUAUAUGAGGAAAAUAAGACCGCCUUUAAAUUGUACAUUUUUUUCUCAAAAACCAAACCGAAACCGUUUGAAACCGCACCGAAUUGAACCAAACGGUUUAAUUUCAUUUCGAUUUUAGCUUCAAAACCGCACCGAACCACACCGUAAAAAGUUUCGAUUUUGGUUGCGGUUUCACUUGAAACUACACCGAACCGCACCGUGCCCAUCCCUAGGCACAAGCAGGAAAAGAGUCGAGCCAAGUACAAUUCGAUUAUUUGUGAUGACCUAAAUUAGCUAAAGGCAUCAGCGGAAAUUUUGGUUUCUCUAAAUGCUUGGACAUUUAGGUUGACUUGCCCUCAAUUUAACAAAUUCAUCUCCACCAGUAAAGAAAAGGGCAAUUGUAUAAAGGGCAGCAGCCUGUCGGACUGCCCUUGCAAUAAUUGCUGUGCCUUGAGCCAGCCAUGAUGCCAUCAUACUGCAGAAAGUGGGCCCCACGUGGACGCCACCGAGCCAUUGGGCUGAAUUUCCAGUCUGGCAACUGUUGGAAAUUCCAACUGUCUUCUCGUUUGGAUCCGGAGAGAUCCUUUUCCGUUUGUUAUUUACCAAUCAAAGAUGAUCUUGUUUGCUUUCCCGUCACGUCUUGUAGUGCUAAUUAGGGUAUCUUGUAUGCUUUUGCUUUUCUUUUGUUUUUUCGCAACUUUGGAAAUGAGUACAAAAACAUUCAACUUCGGAUAAUAUGUUUUUAAAGAUUUUAGAUUUGUACGUUUUGUGGGGUUUGUGAUACUUCCAGAAACUUUGUAUGACUUUGCUGUGUUCUACAGUGAUCUCUCUAUAGGAGAGUAUUCUUAAGUGUGAUUUUGGUAUAGAUAUGUCGUGUUACACCUAUUUUUGAAGAAUUUAUCAUUACCCAAAAUUUACUAGCAUUCUUAAAUGUGAUUUUGGUAUAGAUAUGUCGUGUUACACCUAUUUUUUGCAAAUUUGGCAUUACACAAAAUUUUCUCUUAGGCAUCAUCUUUUAGACAAUGCCUAUCUCACUUCACAAUGGAGACUUUUGUUUUUCACUCUUAGAUUUCAGAAUUUACAAAUUUGAGUAAGUGCCGCCGAUGCCUUCUCAUUUUUAGACUUCAGUAUUUAUAAAUUUGACACCUAAACUAUUAACACCAUCAAAUUUUGUUUUUUUCCGACGGUGACAAUGCAAUUUGGUGGCCGAAUUAGGCUUUUAUCUAUUUGUUGGUUGUGUAUGCGUAAUUAUGUUUAGGUCAUGUUAAAGUGUUGGAAUUCGUUUAAAGGGUUAUGUUGAAACUGGCCAUGGAAAAGUUAUACUCAUUUUUUUAACAUGUUUGUUCUUCGUUGCAAUGUUUAUUAAUUGUCAUUUGGUGGAGUGGAUAUACGUUUUGUUUUUUCAAUUUAUGUUGCUUAGUCGUUACCUAAUCUUGUCACUUAUUGAAGACAAAAUCUUUAGAUGGUUUUUUCUUUGUCAAGCAAAUCUUUUGGAAAGUUGCACUUUUCGUGUUAGCUAAUUAAUCAAAGAUAUAAAUUUUGUUCGACGACAGUACCUCUAAAAGAAAGUAACAUAAAAAUUUAGUUUCGUAGAGAUAACAUUGAUUACAUCAUAUUUCAUUUUGUUAUAUAAAAAUCCAUGUAUACUGUUAUUAUCCGUGACACCAUUAUUUUCACACAACUUUUGACACAUGGUUUUUAUAGGAUCUACUUCGUAAUGUAUUUCAAUGAUCUGAGUCAUCUAUCUUUUAGGUCUUCCUUCAAGAUCAUGUCUACCAAAAAUACCCAAAUCUGAAACCAUGACCAUUGGAUUAAGGGUUUAUGUUUCUUUGUAGAACUAUAUUUGUCUAUUUUCUUCACUAUAAAGGAAUGUUUUAAUGAUUUUAAAUUUGUAUAAUUGUUUACAAAAAUGAUCUAUAAAUGACUUUCUAAAAGAUAAACGAUUCAUAUAUGAAAACAAAAUAAUGUCACAAAUCUGUAUAUAAUAUUACAAGGUUGACUGACUCUUUUCAAAAACUGGUAAACCAGUAGGUUAGCUGGGACUUAAUAAUUGGUGUUAUAUUUAUAUAUUAUUGCUCAAUUAAUGGUCCAUACAUUUGGUUGCGUACACUCCAUAUGUAUUCUCGUUGGAUCCUUUUUGUGAUGAUCUUAGGAAUCUGUGAAUUAUGUUCAUUUAUUAUAUAUCGUGCGGUCAUAAAUUAUUUAAAUAUUUUUAUUUAAAAUUAAAUAUAAACAAUACUUAAUAAAAAUUGAUUGCAUAAUGUACGAUAAUAGACACCAUUCAUGGAUCUAUAGGAUCUUCAUCAAAAGGAUCCGGAGAGGAUCUGUUGGGCGUACACUGCCAUGGCCAUUAUUGAGUUUGAAUUCAGAUAUAAAGGCUUGGACAUAAAACUCACAUAUAUCAUCACACAUGAAUUAUAUUAGUGGAUAUAAUUAUGUGAGAACAAGCAUGUGGUGUAUACAUGGAUGACCAUACGUAUUCCAAACCAUCUAAAAUAAGUAACUCGAAUCCUUGCAAAUCAAGAAAAACCCAAAUGGGAAACCAAUAAUGUGUCAAAACCAAAAGCAACUAGGAAUACAAUAAUUUCUCGAGGAUAAUGUUAGGAAGAUAAUUUUUAAGCUGAAUUUACAAAGCAAAUAAUGUGUCGUCAAUAAAAAAAAUAAGCACGUUAAUCAAUAUUAAGUAAUAAUCCAAUUAUCAACAUCCAUAUCAUUUGGUUUACAAAAUUUAGUUUAAAAUUUUAAUCUCUCAAGCAUUACCUUUUUCUCAAACUUUCAUGAAUUGAGUCUGUAACAUCCCGGUCCGGGCCCCCACCACAUCCCGGGCUCGACUCCGACGUAGCACGAUAUUGUCCGCUUUGGGCCCCGAUCACGCUCCCACAUUCUCAGUGGGUCACCUAUCAUGGGAUUGCUCUCGUGCGAACUUGCUUAACUUCGGACUUCUGAUGGAACUCGAAGUCAGUAAGCUCCCAAAAAGGCCUCGUGCUAGGUAGAGAUGAGAAUAUACAUAUAAGGCUUAUAGGAUCCACUCCUAUGGGCAAUGUGGGAUGUUACAAUCCACCCUCCUUAGGGGUCUAACGUCCUCAUCAAGGGAUUGGUUCGGACACCAAAUUGUCACAUCCCGACCUGGGCCCCCACCACAUCCCGGGCUCGACUCUGCCGUAGCACGAUAUUGUCUGCUUUGAGCCCCGACCACGCCCUCACGGUUUUUUUUUUUAGAACUCACGAGCAACUUCCCAGUGGGUCACCCAUCAUGGGAUUGCUCUCGCGAACUCGCUUAACUUCGGAGUUUCGAUAGAACUCAAAGCCAGUGAGCCCCAAAAGGUCUUGUGCUAGGUAGAGAUAGGAAUAUACAUAUAAGGCUUACAUGAUCCACUCCUCUAUAUGAUGUGGGAUGUUACAGAGUCAGACUCAACUAGACCUGGAUAUACACACACAUGUAUAUAUGCAUAACUUGGUCUCAUUACGUGUGUGGAAUAUGUCUUUUGAAUACAAUGAUAUUCAAAGUUAUUUUGACAAUGUUACGUAAAUGACUAGAUUUGAGAACGAGAAUGACCGGACGUCCUGACUCCACAAAGAUAAGUAACUCAAAUCCUUGCACAUCAAGAAAAACCUAGAUUGGAAAGAAAUAAUGUGUCCAGAACGAAAAGAAACAAGGAAGCAUAAUAUUUCUCAAAAUAUUGAUCAACUGAGCCGGACUCAGCCUAACAUGUUUCUUGAAUGUAUAGUGGAUUGCUAUUUGGCUAGGAAAAGAUUGAAAGGGAGUUGCUACAAGACACGUUUGUGUACAUUAUUUGCUACAAGACACGUUUGUGUACAUUAUACACAUCACAUUGUUUAUAAAUUUGAUCUAAAAAGUUGGUUUACCUAGUAUUACUCUUUGAUAAUAUUUGUUCUCAUUACUUGUGUGUAAAGGGAACUGCUAAUUUGUUUUUUGGAUACAAUGAAACCGAAUUAAUUCUAUUCUCUAACAAUAUUAUGCACUACCAAAGUUGAACUAAACAGAGUUAUAGAGACACGGUACUCAUGAAGGUAGAAGAGAAUGAAUUAAAGUAGUAUUCUUCCUUAUAUAUAGAGGAUUAAGUGUUAUUUUCCUUCAUUAUUAGAGGUAGUUUUAUUUGUAUAUGUUAGUUAUUAUUAGAUGCAUUUAUUGUUAAUUUUCGCCUUUAAAUUCCAGGAGGAGCGAAUAAGAUAUUUGUCCCUAAAACUAUUGUGGCUAUUACUAUAUCUGAACCUAAUAAUAGCAAUUUUCGCCCCUAUUGCUGUUCCUGCCAUGCUGACAGUUAAAACAAUAUAGUCAUACAAUUAAGCCCCUAUUGUAGUUAACUAUUAUAAUCAUUUAAAUUUAAUUCCCUUGUAAAUUAGAUUAAGGAACAAUUACACAUACAUCCAAAUUAUAAGACUAUAUUUUGGAGAAGGACAAAUUUUUUUAUUGAUCUUAAAGAGGGACAAAACUUAUCCAUGUCGCAUAAUGUCACGACUGAUUGGUUUUUUAAUUGUUUUUACAUUUAUAAUUUUACCCUUGUAUAAUUGAGAGAUGAGUCUAUCUCUUCGUUAGCACUAGUUCUCUCUCUCUCUCUCCUUCCUUUUCUUUGUGAUUUUCUCUCUAUGUUCCUUCUCUUCUUACCCGUCUCUCUCUUUCUUUCUCCACGUUCUUCCUACCUUUCUCUCUCUUUUUCUCACUCUCCUUGUCCGUCCUUAUUCUUCUCUCUUAUUUCUUCUUCCCUCCUCUCCUUCUUCUUGUUCCUAUUUUUCCUUAGACUCAUAAGUGGUUUCUUUUCUAAGAACGAUUAGGAUUUUUUUUUAUUCUCUUUUUUUUUUUUAAAAAAAAUUGAUUUUUAAGCUUUGAUUGAUUUGGAUGCAUGAAUUUUGAAACUGAUAUUGCAGAAAUGCAAGAAUUUUUUAAACUAAUCUUGCAGAAAUGUUGAAAAUUUGAAACUGAUCUUGCAGGAGUACUAAAAAAAUUGAAACUAAUCUUGUGAAAGUGCUGAAAUUUUGAAACUAAUGUUGUGAAGUGCUAAAAUUUUUGAAAGUAAUAUUGCAGAAAUACUGAAAAUUUAUAACUAUCUUACAGAAGUGCUGGAAUUUUGAAACAAUAAGUGCUAAAAACUUUGAAACUAAUAUUGCAGAAGUAUUGAAAUUUUGAAACUGAUCUUGUAAAAGUGCAGAAAAUUUUGAAACUGAUUUUACAAAAAUGAAGAAAAUUUUGCAACUGAUGGUGCAGAAGUGUUGGACUUUAAAAAUGAUCAUGCAUAAGUAAUAAAAAUUUUGAAACAUUUUUUUUUAUCAAGGUAAAAUUUUUGAAACUAAUGCACAUAGUACAAAGCUUGGAAGAAAAAGAACACAGCCAUACUACUAAAAAAUGUAUGAGAAAUUCAAUGUCAAAUUGUAGUCUGACCUAUCUAUACUCUAAAACUAUUAAGAUUUCACAAAUCACAAAAGGAGCACUAAACACCUGCAUAACCUGGCAAGUAUUCAGUUUGAUCACGAAUCAUAAUGAUAUUUUCACAAACUUAACCACUUGUACAACUCGACAUGUGUUGGAUUUUAUUACAAAAAGUAUCGUGCAAUUAAGAGUGAAACCAUUCAAUAUGAUUGCAAUUUAUUCUAUCAAGUUUUGAAUGUGGAAUUACAGUCUUCAACAAAAACCGGUAUAUUUGUGACAUGUCGUUCCCUUUAUUUUGAAAAAGUUUAAAAUACUUUUUAUUUUAUUUUAAGAAAAACACAAUAUUUCAUUCAUUGAUAAAGGCCUUUACAAAUAUUUAUCAUGAAGACCUCGGUCCCAAAAGAGUCCUUGCAAACUAGAUAUAAAAAUACUACAAUAAAGCAUCACUAAUCGCAAAGUAAUGAGUAUACUUCAAGCACUUGUCCAAACUCAUCGAAAACUGCACGAUUACACAAAUCAAUAAAACCGUUAAUUUUCGUGUUACACGAAGAUUAUGUGAGAACAAAAUCUCAAACCAUAAAUUGGAACAUGGACUACGAUGCCAAUGGGUCAAUCACAUCAUCUAACCACCCCCACAAUCCCUGAACACCAUAUGAAGUAAAUCCAGCAAAUCAAACAUCUCCAUCCUUUACACUUAGAUCCAAAAGAGGUAGCACACCCAAAAAAAAAAAUUUAAAUGAAGCAACUCUCCUAUAGAGAGAAAUCAAACUAGCAAACUCAAAUCAAACCAAAGUCCAAGACAAUUCUUGAAAAUUAUUAAAUAUAAACAAAAUAAAAGGAUAAAAUCAUGUCGCCGCACCGCAUCCUCUAGACAUCCGAAAGUCAUAUCACUACACCGGCUAAACCCAAGUGUCGUAGUGACUAAACUUGAUCCCUAUGCAAUUAGGCAUCUUCCAUGGUGACUAAAGUGUUUCACAGUGACAAUUCAACAUCAAAAUAGAAUAAACGGAAAUUGAGAAGGAAGAGACCAAGAAUGAUUUUCAAGCCGAUUGCCCCAACCCCCAAAGCCAAGGGCAGGUCUCGAUGGCAGAUGAAUUUUCCUGGGUUUUCCGGCUACGGUUUUUCGUCAGAUUUGUUAACAAUGUUAUACAAUGAAUUAUUUAAUAUCAUCCUAAACAAAACUUUACGGUACAAAUAAGUUUAAAAUACUUAAAUCCGUUUUCUUUCUGCAUUCUUCAACGUUGAAUUAAUAAUGACAUCGCAAGUCUCAAGCAAUUAAUUUUUGCAAGCUCACGACUAAUUAAUCUGAUUUUGUUCUUUUAAGUAAAGGUUAAUUAAUAGGACCAAUUAAUUGAUUUUCAAUGCGAAAAAAAGAAGAAAAAUAGCUAGAUGUUGCAACUGAUCGCAAAUCGUUAAACAAUAAAUUUGACAUCAAGACAACUUAACCAAAUGACUUUCGUUAGGAGGAUUGCUGAAGUUCUCUUUUGACUGCAGAGCUUUUGCUGUUGUACAACAUUGAGGGACACAAAUGUCUCUGGCUGUUGUACAACAUUGAGGAACACAAAUGUCUCUGCGACUAAUUAGCCACAUUGCUAUAUUUAUAUCAUCUUUGCCACACAAAAAUUACACUAUUGCUAACUCACUUCUCUUAUCUUGUACAUAAUUACAAAUGAGUCCAAGGUAUAUUUCCACGACUCACUUGUAUUAAAAAGUGUGUCAACAAUAAUAUCAAUUUAGUGUGCCUAAAUAUAAUUACCGAUACCAUAUCGACUUGCAACAUUUCAAUUUACAAAUUAAUUUAAACAGAGUAACAACAUGUAUUAUUUUUUUCUUCUAGAGCAACAACUAGUGUCUAUUUAAGAACUUGCAACGUUCUAAAUUAAUUGUUUUGAGAAAAAGAAACAGUUUUUAGGCAGGAAUAUUAUUUGUUAUUAUUACUUCUUUGCAACAUACUCUGUAAUUAAUUGGUCAUAAACAUUACGUUUUCUCAUCAUAAGGAAAAAAAAACAUUAUGCUUUCAAGAACUCAAGAAGAAAAUACCGCAGUAGAAAAAAUUGCAAGAUAAUGAAGGGACAAAGCUCUGCAACAAUACCCUUCAUUUUCCCAUUCCUUUUGCUCUUUAGUAGCACUGUUUAUUGUCUCACUCCUUUCUGUGCAUCUAUUGAUCCACCAAUAAAGGAUAUCCCUGAUCUCAAAUACACCCCCAUACCGCUUCCGAAACAUUCUCAACAAAUUCUCAAUGACUUCCUCGAAUGCCUUGCGGUAAAAUUUCAGUCCACCAACCACCCUAUCAUGGAAGCCAUUUACACCCCACAAAAUACCUCAUUUCACCAAGUUUUGCUGGCACACACUAAAAACCGCAGAUACACAACGCUUGAUACUCCAAAACCUUUGGCUAUUGUAGCAGCCAAGCACGAACGCCAUGUGCAAGCAACCGUAAUUUGCGCAAAACAACAUGGGUUGCAGAUUAGAAUCCGAAGUGGUGGCCAUGAUUAUGAAGGUCUAUCAUACGUAUCGGAUGUACCCUUUGUCAUUCUUGACAUGUUCAAUCUUCGAUCCAUUGAUGUUAAUGUGACGGAAGGGAGGGUUUGGGUUCAGUCAGGGGCUACAAUUGGUGAACUUUAUUAUGAAGUUGGAAAGAAAAGUAGGGUUCAUGGGUUUGCAGCUGGAUCUUGUCCAAGUGUCGGUAUUGGUGGUCACUUUAGUGGUGGUGGGUAUGGUCCUUUGUUGAGAAAAUAUGGGCUUACAGUGGAUAAUAUUGAAGAUGCUAGACUAGUUAAUGUGAAUGGUGAAAUCCUUGAUCGAAUGUCAAUGGGAGAAGAUCUAUUUUGGGCCAUUAGAGGAGGUGGUGGAGCAAGCUUUGGAGUCAUUCUUUCGUGGAAGAUCAAAUUGCUUCCAGUUCCAGCCCAAGUGACUGUGUUUCAGGUAGAAAGGACGCUGGAACAAGGCGCUAAGGAUGUGGUUCAUCGAUGGCAAUACGUUGCACCUAAGCUCCCUGAAGACCUCUUCAUUAGAACAGCAAUAAAAACCAAGAAUGGCUCCCAAGAGGGCACGAAGGCUGCGGUAGCAAUAUUCUCUUGUCAAUUUCUGGGACGAGCAGACAAGCUUCUUCAAUUGAUGAAUGAAAGUUUCCCUGAGUUGGGUUUACAGCAAAAAGACUGCUUUGAAAUGAGUUGGGAAGAAUCCAUGAUAUUCUUGGCUGGUUGCCCAGUUGGAACUCCCCUAGAAGUUCUACUUUCUAGGCCAAAAUUGCCAGUAAUUUUCUUCAAAAGUAAGUCCGACUACGUGAAAAAACCAAUUCCAAAACAUGGUUGGAAAUCUUUAUGGAAAAAUCUGAUUACGAUAGAUCACUUGUUAGUGCAAUUGAACCCUUACGGCGGAAGAAUGAGUGAGAUUUCUGAAUCAGGAACUCCAUUCCCUCACAGAGCUGGAAAUCUGUUUUCAGUUCAGUACUUUAUUUCUUGGAAGGAAGAACAGAUUGAGACCAUCAAGCGGAAUAUUCAUAGGUCAAGAAAGUUGUACAAAAGUAUGGCUCCAUAUGUCUCCCAGAACCCAAGAGAGGCUUUGCAAAACUAUAGGGAUCUUGACAUAGGUGCCAAUCUGCACAACCGGACUAACUUUCGAACAGCCAGACGUUAUGGUAGCAAAUAUUUCAAGGGUAACUUUGAUAGAUUGGUACGUGUGAAAACUAUGGUAGAUCCCCAUAAUUUUUUCCACCAUGAACAAAGUAUUCCUCCCCUUUAAAAAUUACAGAGAAUCAUAAAGUCAAUUGCAUUGGUAAUGUACCAACAAACUUGUAGGUAAGGAUACAACAGGGUAAAGUGGGCAAAAAACAUACAAGCAAUUGGAGUUAUGAAAUUAAAAUUUCUUAUUAGUAUGGCGUUUCCUAUGACACAAUUGAUUAGUUCUGAGAGUUUUGAUCUCUGACAUGAUCUUGAUAGUACUAGAUUCAUUGGCUUCAAUGGAUCCUUCAUCAGUUUCAGUUUCUUGCAAUAUUUAGGAUUAGUUGUUAAUUAACUUUUGUUGAUGCACAAAACCGGAGGUCUUGGAACAACGUAAUUCCGACCGUGAAUCUGCUAGAAAGUAAAGAACACAAGGUGUAUCGUGGUUCAUCCCAAUGUUUGGGCUACGUCCACACUGAUGUUGAUAUUGUUUUACUCUGAAUGGUGAAUAUACAAGAAGGCUAGAGGCAGUGUGCUCUCUAGCCUAUUUUCUGUGUUUGCCCUCUCUGAGAUGUUUUCUCUCUUCCCAUGGCCUAAACCUUGACCUAUCCUAAUGAGGAGAGUGAUGAGUCCUUUUAUAGAAUAAGGGCUCCUCACUUAUUAUAUAUUUGCCCAUUCAUUUAUUACAUAAUUACAUUUGAGUCCCCUGAGUAUUUAUACGAGGUCUAAAUACGGAGGCCCUAAAUAUGGUACAAAUAGUAGUCCCCUAAGUCUUCAGUCAAGAGAGUCUUUUGGCUUAAGACUUGAAAUUCAGUCCAUGUGUGGGCCGAAGUAACUAGAUGUUGUCUAGAACUGAUACUCGAUAUGAAGUGGUGCUCAAUGUGAAAUGAUGCUCAACUAGAAGUAGGACAUGUUGCAAGGCUGCUCGGCUUGUGGCUUAUGUUGCAUUGGUUGGCUCUGCUUGUGGCGUUGAAGGUGAGAGAGUCCCUUUUAUAGAAUAAGGCAUCGCUCCUCAAUACAUAAAUGAUGGGCUAGAGUUGAUGCUCGCGGCAAGACGGUUGCUCAGCAGGCGGCGAUGCUCUCUAAUGAUGGUGAGGGGGUCCUUUUUAUAGAAUAAGGGCUCGCUCCUCAAUACAUAAAUGAUGGGUUAGGAGUGAUGCUCGCUGCGAUGCCGUUGUUCAGCUGGCGGCGAUGCUCUAUAAUGAAGGUGAGGAAGUCUCUUUUAUAGAAUAAAUGUUCGCUUCUCAAUACAUAAGUGGUGGGUUAUGAGUGAUGCAGGCGGCGAGGCUGUUGCUCAACUAGUGGCGAGGUUGUUGCUCAGCUGGCGGCGAUGCUCUCUAAUGAAGGUGAGGGAGUCAUUUUUAUAAAAUAAGGGUUCGCUCCUCAAUACAUAAGUGAUGGGCUAAGAGUCUUUCUUUAAUGAAGGUGAGGGAGUCCCUUUUAUAAAAUAAGGGUUCGCUCCUCAAUACAUGAAUAAUGGGUGCUCUCUAAUGAAAGUGAGGGAGUUCCUUUUAUAGAAUAAAGGUUCACUCCUCAGUAUAUAAAUAAUGGGCUAAGUCCCCCAAGUAUUUUUCAUGAGGCCCAGUUGCGGAAGCCCAAUAUAUGGUACAUAGUGUAGUCCCCCAAGUCUUCAGUCAAUAUAGUAUGUUGGCUGGAGACUUCAAAUUCAAUCUAUGUAUGGGCUGAAGUAGCGGUUGUUCAGAUGCGGUCUUUGUAUACUAUGCACUGAAGCUUUGUAGGUGAGGCUUUGAAAGUAAAGCUUUGAAGCUAGAGCUUUGUAAAUGAAGCUUUUGAAGCUGAAGCUUUUGUAAAUGAAGCUUUUGAAUGUUGCUUGACAUGAGUGAUGCUCAUAGAUGUUGACAUGAGUGAUGCUCAUGAAUGUUUAUGUAUGAUUGACAUGAGUGAUGCUCAUGUAUGAUGAUGAUUGUCAUGAGUGAUGCUCAUGUAUGAUUUUUUUGGAGUACUGGACGUACUUUUGAUCACUUAGUUGGUGAUAAUAGAGGGUGAACCUUAAGUGGAGGGAUGGAGGUUGGAGUUUGAAGUCAUAGGGCCUGACUCUUUUUGGCAUAUGGGCAUUCGCCCUCCACAUAACAUUUCAUCCCACUAGUUUGGGCUUGUCGACAGUUUGCCUUUAUUUUUAUUUUUGGCAUGCUGCCUUCUUUACACAUCAGUAUAACUAUUCAAUAAUUGCUCCAAUUUGCAGAAGACAACUUAAUAAAAUAUUCAUCAAUGACAGUGGGUAUGGGCUGUAAAGAUAAGAGUCUUAUCUUUGUGGUUGUUUUCUCUGAGUGCGAAUGGAUGAUUGAGUGUGGCAGAGGAGAGACAUGUGCAUGGUGGGAAUGAUGCUCAAUGUCUUAUCUUUGAAGAUUUGCAGGCAUGCCUUAAAACAAACACAUCCAUAGCUUUUCCAUACCGUCCACCUUCAAAUUAUGCAGCAAAUUAGUCUCUUUAAAUACACCCACUUGCUCAUUUUCUUGUAGCUUUUUCAGAAUAUUCAGAGCAUGCUCCUUUGCAAAUUUGCAUGCUUGCUUUACAGCAAACACAUCCAUAACUUUUCCAGGCUGUCGACAAAAGCCAUUUUGCAUAAUAAAGUUCUUAUCUCUAUUUUCCCCCAGACAGUGAAGAUGGCAGCAUGUGACCAGCCGUAAUCAUGCCCUCCGCCAUCUGUAGAUGACAACAGAUCAUCAAUGCCAGUCCUUCCCACCUUGGCCGAUAAGAUUUGCAUCGACACCAACAACUUGGUAUAAAUGCCUUCACUUAGUUCAAUAAUCCCAGUUGUUUACGUUGGAUCACCACCAAGAGUACUAAGAGCGUGGUUUGCAACAAAACAAGCAUAUAAUCCUUCAUCAGAUCCUAACUUUUGCUAUUGCUGCUGCUUUCAGAUUCAUCGUCUUCGAGUUUUCGUCGUAGAGCUUCAGUCUUGAUCUCAUCCAGAAGGUCGUCUGCAGCAUACAGAGCAUCUUUGAGUUCGUCGAGCCACUCCCUCAUAGCUGGGUUUUUGAACUGCUUCUCAUCUGCAUCAUCAAGAACCGAAUUAACUAAGCAGCUUAAUCUUCAACUUCUUGAGCAGUCCGCUGAUGAUCUUUUGUCUGCGGAUGAAGUCGACGAUGGGACGGGAGGCCAGCCUAUCAAAUAAGACAGAGAGAAAGGAAGAGAGAAGAACACCGCCCAUAACUUCUAUCGCCAUGGAUUUCAAUCUUCUGAUGGAUGGGAAGUUAAAAGAAAUUGGAUCGGGUGAGGGCGCGGUACCAGAACUUGCAAACCAAUAAGGCCCUACUGCGGUCGCGGCGGGAGGUGAGGAAGCAGAUGACGUUUUGCAGAACGUUCUCGAGGACUUGGUCCGAGUAGGGGACAAUAUACUCGACAGAGGUACCUACGCCAGAGCCGAAUACUCGAGAGAACUUGGCCGAGAAAGCUGAGUGUUUUUUGGUGACAAAAUUUUCUUCUUUUUUUUUGUGCACUUUCGCUUCUGUGUGUGUACAAGAAACUAGAGAGAACACAGAAGACUAGAGGGGAGAGAGAUAGAGGUGGUGAGGUUUUGGGUUUUGCAAUGACUGUGCACGUGUUUGGUUCUUGGGUUUCUGCAGAUUCACGGUGGAUAUUGUGGUGAGGUUUCACGGUGGUGAGAUGAAAAAAUGAAAAAGAACCGACAUAGUUUUUCGUGUCGUUUCCCACAGAUGGCGCCAAAUGUCACUACUACAAUAUUAGCUUUAGGUGUCGAACGAUUCUGGCGGUUAAUAAGUCAUUCUGAUGGAUAAAAGAUAUCCGACACAUAAUUUAUUUACUGUCGGAUUAAAGUUAAUUUUUGUCGGAUAUAUCCGACAUAAAUUACUAGCGGAUUUAACCGCCAUAAAAUUAUUAUAACUCUCAGUAUUUUGAAUUCUUUUUUUUUUUAAAUAUUUUUAACAUAUUCUGGCGAUUAUAACCGACAUAAAUUGACUAUUUUAUUAUUUUAAAAUGUUACAUUGAUUAAAAUAAAUAAACAAAUGGUUUAAUUUUUUUUUUCACUCACAGUCCCGUUACCUAAUCUCUGAAUGUUUUUUUUUUUUGCAAUUUUUUACACAUGCUAUCUCGGAGUAUAUACAAACAUAUUUGACUGUUGGAUCGUUGAAACUAGUUUCGUAGAAUGCAUAUCCUAUCAAAUUGAUAGAUUUAACAAACACUUAAGAGUUAAUGUUAUACUUCCAUUAAGUAUAAAAAAUUAUCCACUGGUAUAAAUAUUUUAAAUUGAAGAUCGAAUUCGUUCAAUGCAUUAUUAUAGGGUCGAGGAGUGUAGCUAUAAAAAAUCAUCAAAAUCAGAGCUAAAAUAACUGUUAAAUUAUGAUUUUUUGUUUAUAACCAUUGAACAUUUUUGUUUCGUUACCUAAUCUCUGAAUGUUUGUUUUUUACGAUUUUUUACGUAUGCAAUCUCAGAGUGUGUACAAAUAAGUUUGAUGGUUGGAUCGUUGAAAAACGUUUCGUAGAAUGCAUAUUGCAUCAAAACUAUAGAUUAAACAAACACUUAGAGUUAAUAUUAUACUUCUAUUAACUAUAAAAUAAGAUUUUGUGGUAUCCACUAAUGUAAAUAUUUUAAAUUGAAGAUCAAAUUUAUUCAUUGCAUUCUUAUAGGGUUGAGGAGUGUAGCUGUAAAAAAUCAUCAAAAUCGGAGUUAAAAUAAUAGUUAAAUUGUGAUUUUUCUUUUAUAACCGUCGAAAACUUUUGUUCCGUUACCUAAUCUCCGAAUGUUUGUUUUUUAUGAUUUUUACGUAUGCAAUCUCGGAGUGUGUGCAAAUAAGUUUGACGGUUGGAUCGUUGAAAAAAGUUUCGUAGAAUGCAUAUUGCAUCAAAACUGUAGAUUAAACAAACACUUAGAGUUAAUAUUAUAAAAUAAGAUUUUGUGGUAUCCACUAGUGCAAAUAUUUUAAAUUAAGGAUUGAAUUUAUUCAUUACAUUCUUAUAGGGUCGAUGAGUGUAUAUGUAAAAAAUUAUCAAAAUCGGAGCUAAAAUAACCAUUAAAUUGUGAUUUUUCGUUUAUAACUGUCGAAAACUUUUGCUCCGCUACGUAAUCUAUGAAUCUUUGUUUUUACAAUUUUUUACGUAUGCAAUCUUGGACUGUGUACAAAUAAGUUUGACGGUUGGAUCGUUGAAAAACGUUUCGUAAAAUGCAUAUUGCAUCAAAACGGUAGAUUAAACAAACACUUAGAGUUAAUAUUAUAAAAUAAGAUUUUGUGGUAUCCACUAGUGCAAAUAUUUUAAAUUAAGGAUUGAAUUUAUUCAUUACAUUCUUAUAGGGUCGAUGAGUGUAUCUGUAAAAAAUUAUCAAAAUCGGAGCUAAAAUAACAAUUAAAUUGUGAUUUUUCGUUUAUAACUGUCGAAAACUUUUGCUCCGCUACGUAAUCUAUGAAUCUUUGUUUUUACAAUUUUUUACGUAUGCAAUCUUGGAAUGUGUACAAAUAUGUUUGACGGUUGGAUCGUUGAAAAACGUUUCGUAGAAUGUAUAUUGCGUCAAAACGGUAGAUUAAACAAACACUUAGAGUUAAUAUUAUACUAUUAUUAAGUAUAAAAUAAGAUUUUGUGGUAUCCACUAGUGCAAAUAUUUUAAAUUAAAGAUCGAAUUUAUUCAUUACAUUCUUAUAGGCUCGAGGAGUGUAUCUGUAAAAAAUCAUCAAAAUCGGACCUAAAAUAGCCGUUAAAUUGUGAUUUUUCAUUUAUAACUGUCGAAAAUAUUUGCUCCGUUACAUAAUCUUUGAAUCUUUGUUUUUUACGAUUUUUUACGUAUGCAAUCUCGGGCUGUGUACAAAUAAGUUUGACGGUUGGAUCGUUGAAAAAAGUUUCGUAGAAUGCAUAUUGCGUCAAACGGUAGAUUAAACAAAUACUUAGAAUUAAUAUUUUACUAUUAUUAAGUAUAAAACAAGAUUUUGUGGUAUCCUCUAGUACAAAUAGUUUAAAUUAAAGAUCGAAUUUAUUCAUUACAUUCUUAUAGGGUUGAGGAGUGUAGCUGUAAAAAAUCAUCAAAAUCGGAGCUAAAAUAACCGUUAAAUUGUGAUUUUUCGUUUGACCGUCGAAAACUUUUGCUCCGUUACGUAAUCUCUGAAUUUUUUUUUUACGAUUUUUUACGUAUGCAAUCUCGGACUGUGUACAAAUAAGUUUGAUGGUUGGAUCGUUGAAAAAAGUUUCGUAUAAUGCAUAUUGCGUCAAAACGAUAGAUUAAACAAAAACUUAGAGUUAAUAUUAUACUUCUAUUAAGUAUAAAAUAAGAUUUUGUGGUAUCUACUAGUGUAAAUAUUUUAAAUUAAAGAUCGAAUUUAUUCAUUACAUUCUUUUAGGGUCGAGGAGUGUAUCUGUAAAAAAUCAUCAAAAUCGAAGCUAAAAUAACCGUUAAAUUGUGAUUUUUCGUUUAUAACUGUCGAAAACUUUUGCUCCGUUACAUAAUCUCUGAAUCUUUUUUUUUUUAUGAUUUUUUACGUAUACAAUCUCGGAUUAUGUACAAAUAAAUUUGACGGUUGGAUCGUUGAAAAAAGUUUCGUAGAAUGCAUAUUGCGUCAAAACGGUAGAUUAAACAAACACUUAAAGUUAAUAUUAUACUAUUAUUAAGUAUAAAAUAAGAUUUUAUGGUAUCCACUAGUGCAAAUAUUUUAAAUUAAAGAUCGAAUUUAUUCAUUACAUUCUUAUAGGGUCGCGGAGUGUAACUGUAAAAAAUCAUCAAAAUCAGAGCUAAAAUAACCGUUAAAUUGUGAUUUUUCGUUUAUAACUGUCGAAAACUUUUGUUCCGUUUCGAAAUCUCUGGAUGUUUGUUUUUUACGAUUUUUUACAUAUGCUAUCUUGUAGUAUCUACAAACAAGUUUGACGGUUAGAUCAUGAAAACUAGUUUCGUAAAAUGCAUAAGUUUGCCAAAAUUUUGAAGUGGGAAAAGUAAUUUGUGCUAAAUUUUUAUUUAUGUUUUUCUAGUAUUGAUUAGACAAUAUUUAGUUUGUGUGAAGACAUUUUCAUUGUACAAUUCUCUUUUUGUUUUUUUAUCGCAUAUUUUACAUAGAUUAUUAUCUAUUAAACCAAAAAUGUAAAAAUUAUCUAUUAAACCAAACAAUUAUUUAUUUAAAUUUAAAAAACAUAUUAUAUUUAAAUACAUAUUAUUUAUUUAUUUAUUAAACCAAACAACUAUUGACACACUCCGAUCCUAGAAUCAAGGCGUGUUCUAAAUUUUGGGUCGCUUUUCUGGAAGCUCUGAUACCAAACUGACACACCCCGAUCCUAGAAUCAAGGCGUGUUGGCUACGUCACGCUCACGUGACGGCCAGUACGCCUUGAUUCUAGGAUCGGGGUGUGUCAACUAUUAUUUUAUUUUUUUAAAUCGUAACAAAAUUUGGGGGGGGGGGAUUUUGGGGGGAAUGUUGACGCCAUUUUUUUGCUAUCGGUUAAAACCGACAUUAAUGAGAAUUUUCUAUCGGGUUUUUAUUUUUAAAAAACAUUUCUGUCGAUUUUAACCGAUAGUAAUGAACAUUUCCACAUUAUAACCCCUUCAUCUCUUCCUUGCACCCGUGCUUCUCCCUUCCCCAUUUUCUCCUCUUCUCAUUUCCUUCUCCUUCUCUUCUCUCCUCUCCUCAUUUACUUCCACUUCGAACACUUGCAACCAAAGUUCAUUAGCUAUCUCGAAUAUGGCGAAGAAGAAGGUAACACUCUCGCUCUCGCUCUUUCUCUUUCUCUCCAUCUGUGUCUCUCUCUCUGUGUCUCUCAUAUGGCGAAUAAUUUUGUGUCGUUUGUUUCAGUGGGUUGCAAAGCUAUUCGUUUCCUUCUGUUCCCAACAAUAAAGAUGAGAUUUUUCAGCUGCUUUUGUAAAUUACACAGCUACCCAAGACUUGCCCAGUUUGCUAUUUUUGUAUUUUAUCAUGUUUUUGUGAUUUUUUAGUGGAUCUGUCACUCCCAAAUGAUUAUCCAAUGAUUGUAGCUACACCCAUUUUGUCCAUUUCUCCAAAUGGAUCUUGUAUGAUUUCACCUGAUUGUGUUAGAAAUCAUUAGUUUUUUGGUGAAAGAUUAUGUUGGAAAUUAGUGUGAUCAUUUUUACCUUGAGGGAGUUGACCAAAUGUGAAACUAGCUGUUGUGGUUAAAUAUUUGGUGAAUUUAGAUUGAACUUGAAGAUCAUGUAACUCAAGGCAGCACUUGGCCCUCUGUUUGGACGCAAUUUGAAGUACUGCACCGAUGGAUGCCUUCGGAGAUAUUUGGAAGCUCGGAGCUGGAAUCUUGAGAAGGCGAAGAAAAUGGUUGAAGAGACACUGAAGUGGAGGGCAACUUAUAAGCCUGAAGAACCCGUUAGGUAAGUUGGAUGAACUUUUAUGAUAUUCACAAACUAGAAAUAGAUAUAUUUGUAGGAUGUUUGUUUCUCUUGAUACGUUGGCAAUUCUGCUUGAGCAUAAACUAAUCAACGUUUGAGUUUUGUAUAUUUUGUUUUCAUCAAAUAUAUGGCAGAAUCAAAACUUAAUAUGGACUCAGAUGGUGUUCUCCAACCACAUUGCGUGUGAAUUGCGUUCGUUUAAUUCAUUUGCAUCAUCUGCAGCUUACUUCUAUGCAUUGCACAAGCUAUCGCCCGUCAUACUUCUUGCCUAGAACUUUAAGGGCCCUGAAGUUUUCGAGAUCGAGCUCCGGCGAGGUUUUGGAUGAUGAAUGCAGAAAUAUUUUUUUAUUAUUAAUAUAUUUUCUGUCGGUUUUAUGCGACAAGAAUGAUUUUAUUCGUUUUUAUAAUAAAUUAUCUGUCGGAUAUAACCGACAGAAAUACUGUCGGUUUUAGUAUUUUUUGUUGGUUUUAUCCGACAGAUAUUAUAAUAAAUAAAUAUAUAUCCUGUCGGUUUUAAAGUAUUUUUUGUCGGAAAAUUCAUUUUCUGACGCAGGCAAUUAUGUCGCUUAUUAUAUCCGUCACUGUAUCCAUUUUCUGUCGGAUUUUGCUUAAAAUCCAACAGUAAUAUAAAUUUUUUGUCGGUUUUUGAACCGCCAGUUAUAGUUAAUUUUGUAGUAGUGUGUUGAUGCACAAAACCGGAGGUCUUGAAACAACGUAAAUCUGACCGUGAAUCUGCUAGAAAGUAAAGAACACAAGAUAUCGUAGUUCACCCCAAUGUUUGGGCUACGUCCACACUGAUGUUGAUAUUGUUUCACUCUGAAUGGUGAAUAUACAAGAAGGCUAGAGGCAAUGUGCUCUCUGACCUAUUUUUUGUGUUUGCCCUAUCUGAGAUUCUUUCUCUCUUCCCAUGGCCUAAACCUUGACCUCUCCUAAUGAGGAGAGUGAGGAGUCCUUUUAUAGAAUAAGGACUCCCCACUUAUUACAUAUUUGCCCAUUCAUUUAUUACAUAAUUACAUUUGAGUCUCCCGAGUAUUUAUACGAGGUCUAAAUACGGAGGCCCUAAAUAUGGUACAAACAACUUUCAUUUUUGUUUUUUGUUUUUGUGUAAGGACCCUCUGACCGGGAGUCAUGUUCUUCACUUUGUUUUAAAUCUUAAAUCAUCUCCUUUCAUGAAUAAAAUGUCUCUCGUUAAUAAAAAAAUUAUGACAUUCAAACAAAUUGAAAAUUAAUACAGUUAAUUGUUGAAAGUAGUGGACUGCUCUGGUGUUAUUCUUUUGACCCCUUUAAUGAAGUUAUUUUCUAAGCAAAAAUAAAAAUAAAAUUAAAACCAACACGCAAUGUACUGCCACAUCGUCACUUGCACAAGCUUUCACUCAUAACAUGCUCAAUUCCCUUAUCUUUCUCUCCAUCUAUUUCGUAAUUUUUUGUUCUUUUUUUAUUUUCCUCCUUUCUCUCUACUCUCACCCCUAACCACUCUCUCUAUCCCGUCUCCUCUCACCCGUCCUCACUCACCUCUUCCUUUAUGUGUCAUGUCACUCGGUUUGUACUAGGGGUGGGUAUGGUUCCAAUCGGUUCGGUAUUUUGCUAAAAUAAAAACCAAACCGAAUUUUUUAUUCGGUUCCGGUCGGUUCAAAUUUUUUCGAUUUUUAUUCGAUUCGGUUUUUUCGGUUUUUUUCUGUCUGGUUUCAGUUCAGUUCUUUUUUUUUGUUUUUUGGGUCGUAAACAACUGAAAAUCAACCCAUUGUGUAGAGGUUUUAAUUUGAAAUGAAAAAUCAUGCUAGAGCUUAAAUGUUUUAGACUCAAACAAAUUUUUGAAGAUUUCUAACUGUGUUCUGGUGAUAAAAUUCGCUUUGGUUAAGGGGAAUAACUAACAAAGAAGAAUAAAAUUACGAGGUUCCUCAAUGAACGUAAAUAUUCAUCAUCAAUUGAAAGUGGCUACACCAAAAGAAAAUGGCCAAAGAAGAAUAUGUGUCAAGUUAAUUUCCCAUCACCAAAAUUUACGUUCAUUGAGGUUCCUACUAAACCGACCAAACUGCACCGACGGUUUCGUUUGUUUUUUUUUUUGUUUUUUUUUUCGGUAUGUAAACCAAACCUUCCCGUGUGCUUGCUUUUAUUUGUUUUAAUCAUAAUAGACAUACCAUGUACCCACCACAACAAAACAAACACUACAAAAAAUAUGGGCAUUGCACACAAUAAAUUAUUUGUGUCCAUUGAGCCAAAGAGCACCAACAUAUGUGCCCAUAAACCAAUAGCAAUAGUGCGGCAACUAUAAUAUUGUUUGUGCCCUCUAUAGGCAUGUCCUUUGGUAAUAAGGCACAAUAUUGCUUUUGUGCUCCCAAGAGAAAGCAUAAAUGACAACCUAUUUGUGUAUUAAUUAUGACAAGCAUGUCAAAUGAUCUACAAUCAUGCGCACAGUUUUCAAAUCAUGCCCGAUAGGGUCUAUUUAAAAAAUAAAUAAAAAUUUGAAACAAAACAAAAAAUUCUAAAUUUUCAUAAAAUCAACAAAUCCCACAAUAUACAUGUAUUUCAGUUAUUUACAACAAAUCCCACAUAUUUACAACCAAGCCCUCCUGCAUAAUCCUAUCCUCCCCUACUGCAGUCGUUGGACCCAAGUUCUUCAUGCAAUGUAACUUAACCACAUUCCCUUCUUGCCUAUAAGGAAUCUUAGUAAGAAGCCUAGAGUAAGAAAUAUUUAUAAGCAUUCAUUUCAUUAAGAUUAUCGCAUGCAAACCGUUCUCGUCUCCCAAGGAAUUAAGGACAUAAUGACAUUAGCAAUUAUUGAAAAACCAACCUAAUUUGUGCACUCAUAUAUAUUUCCUUUACCAUGAGCCAUUUGAUCAUUCUCCUCAUCAACAAAUAGAUCCCUAACAUUGUUAUCAGUUAUACCAACGAACUUGCCCAAAACUUCAGGGCCAUUAACAAUCUAGCACAGUUCACAAGAACAGAAAUCUCAUCAAUCACCAAUGCAAACAACUAACUUAUACAAGGAUAAGUUGCAUAUCAAAUAGCUUUGGAACCUUAAAAUAAUGUACUAGCAUCAAAAUUAUGUGUUAAAUCGGCAUGGUUCAAUGUUUACAGCUGGCAGAACUUAAUCGAUUCAUUACCUAAGCCUAUUGUGAAAAAUAAGAAUACAAGAUUGUGACAAUGAAAUACCUAGUUCUUAAUUUCAUCUCAGAUUCAUGUGUCAUCAAUUGGUUAAGUCUUAUUUGAAAUUAAGGCUGAAACAUAGAAAAGUAAUCAUUCAAACGAACACAACAAAUUCUUAGUCCUAAGAGAAUUGCAACUCUCAGAGAUUUGAUUAUUAAAGAAAAGGUGGAUCAAACUCCAAACCUUUAGUCCUUUCCCGUUCAACAUCUUUCUGAUUUGACACGCCAUAAGAGAAAACAAAAAGAGGCCAUAAUUCAAAUAACACACUAGUUUGAGAAAAAAAGAAAGCAUCAAAUGUUGCGUAAUGGAUAUGAUCCAAAGUCCAAACGCAUCCAAAUUCAUACGUGCAUAAUGUUCGUUCUUUUUCUUUCUUUUGAAAAUUAGACUCUGAAACUUCCCAAAAUAUUAACACUUUUAAUGAUUUCAUUAAUUGUGUUUAUUAAGCACUAUUAGUAUACUAAUACAAAACAUAGAAAACUAAAUAUCAUGAGUAAAACCUACUUAUAUUUCAUGUAAGGCUCCAAAUACCUUAUGUAGGACUUUUGUAUCUCAAGUAUAAACAUUAGCAAGCUGUAAGAACUUCACUCCAUUUAUCUCAUUCCAUAGAGUACCUAUAACUUUCAACAUCAUAGAUGCACAUUUGUACCUGAGAACUAUUCAGGGGAGCUUCCAUUGUGGGUCGAGUGCCCUAUACCUUUUUUUCAUAGUUCACCAACGAGUUAUCUAAAGAAUUUAACAGCCAAUAUAUAACUUUAUGAAUAAUGAGAAUCACAAAUUUGAUUAUGUAAUGAGCGGUAUAAAUGAUAAAUAUCACAUUAUCAUUCAAGACAAAAAAUAUGAGCCAUUUUUCAAUCUCUUUCUGAAAACUCAAAAGGACUCAAUUUCAGAACGGUUUUUUUUUUUUCCACCCAUAUGCACAUUUUGGGUUUCAUUACUCUCCUCGCAUCAAUUUAAAAGGUACAUAAUUUCCAGUUUCAUAUAUAAAUAAGAUAAUUAUCACAAAUGUUGUCAAUCUAAUCAAAUAAUAAAUGUAAAGACAAAUACCAAAGCAUCUGUAAACAUACGCAGAUAAAAAAAUCCAAUAACAAGACAUACCGCUAUAGGGAAUGCCACACUACAAGGAAAAUUUACGCACGGCCUUGACAUCAUCGGAACAAGCCCAAUGGUAGUGCACACAUUGUAACCUGCAAUUACCGCUUGAUUCACUUUAGAAAUUAAAUGCAGUCUUCCAAUGUAGAACAAUUUUCAAUCCAAAUUAAAUGAGAAACGCUUCACCCUCUCCUGCAGAGUUCCAUCAAUUAGACCCCAACAAAAUUAGCAUAUUUAUGUUUAUAUUACUGAAAAUAUGAUUUUAGCCCUUCCAACUCAAUUUUCUUCAUAUAAAACCCUACAUAACUUUUUUACUCAAAGAAAACCCAAUGACUAGGAUCCACAUAAGCAAAUUCAUUAAUUUCAUAUUAAUUCACACAUUUUACAUUUUUCACAUUCCUAAAAUACCCCUAUUACAUAUUUGAUGUAGACAAUUAAUUGUGAGGAGAGAGUAAAUGAUUUUGCAACAAGAAAAAAAAAGACAUUAAUGUUAAAAAUUUAUUGCAUAUUAAUUUUUUAGAAAGACUUUGAAUUUUCAUAAAACUAUUCGAUUCGGUUUUUUUCACCCUACUCUUGAAUACUUUUGAAUUUAUCCUUUUUUUAUUAAUAUAUUAGAACAUUGUAUUUCAUUAUCUACAUGCACAUUAAUUUACCUACAACAAUUAUACCAUGGGUGUAAUAUAAUAUCUCUUUUUUACAAUGAUGCAAAAUAAUGUUUAUACCAACAACAAAACGUGCCUAACAUAUGUACUAAUACAUGAAAAAUAAUUUACCUAUAUUAAGAAGAAAUGUAGUUCGAUGCAUAGUAUUAAAAAUACUAUGUUACACCCAUGUUUAUACAACAAUAAAAUGUGCCUAACAUAUCUAACAAUACAUGGAAAAUAAUUUACCUACAAGUUAGAUAAAUGUUAUUUGGUUGGGUGUAGUAUAAUUUUUUUAAUAAUUGGAAAAAUUAAAUAUAACUAGGUGCAGUGUAAUUUUUUAUAUAUAAUUAGAACAAAUUAAUUUACCUACCUACUAUUUGAAAUGUUCAUUUCUAAUGAUGCAAAAUGUCACAGCCCGUCCCAAAGUUUUACACUCGUGAUUGUAAAUUGACGGAAUUGCCCUUAAACGUGAUUAAGAUAUGUGAAUUAUAUAUUGGUGAAAUAUAUGUUCCUAAGUUAUUUGGAUAUGGAAUUUUGUGAUUUGGGGUUAGGUAGGACCACACACCUCAAAUCCCUCCCUAUUUCCCGUACCCUGUCUCUCUCUCUCCUCCCUCACAAUCUCUCAUUCUCUGUCUCUCUCCUUCGAACUCAAACGGACGAGACCCAAAGACCGUCGAAACUUCCACCAACGACGGAGUUAAGACCACCAUCAAACUCCUGGAACCUCCACGAUCAUGAUGGUAUCCAUUUCAAGUAAGUUUUGCUUCGGAAAACCCUAGUUUCAAAGUUCCCGUGAAAUGGUACUGUUCAUGAUCUUCUAAAUGACUACGUUUUAGGCUAAAACAAGAUCACAGCGAGCUUAGUGAGGUCCCAAGGAAGCUCGGAGUGCUUCGUUGGAAGUUUUUGGACGUAAGAACACGGAGAUCGACAAGUUCAAAGUUUGGCCGGAGCUUUCGAGGAAUUUUCCGGCGAAUCCCCGGUGAGUUAGGAGUCGAGGUAGGUAUCCAUCUCUUCGUCUCGUCAAGUACUACAACUUUCCUUUUUGUUUCACUCAAUUUCGUUGAGUAUUGAAGAAGUUAUACUCAUUUGAAAAAUACCCAGUUUCCGGCGACCUCCGAGGCUUUCGAGGCAGUUUCCGGCCAAACCACGGCGAACUAGGUGUUGUGCAAGGUACCAUUCUCUUUGUCUCUUCAAGGGCUACAACUUUCGUUUUUGAAUCACUUGAUUUCGUUGAGAAAUGACAAAGUUAUGGCAAUUUGAAAAACUGCCCAGAAACGGCCGCCGGAAAAACCAGUCCGGCGACCCAAGGAAGAAGAAGGUGCGCGUGGGGGCGCGUGGACCCGUGCCUUCCUUGGCGCGUGGGGGCGCGUGCUACAGUAAAAAUUAUUUUAAAAAUAUGGCGACGUCCGUGACGUCGAGUAGAUUGGGACUCCGAUUUGCGGAUCUUCCGAAAUUGGAGUUGUAAGUCCAUAAUAUAGAAUGUUAACCGUCACCUAGUUUUGUUAAUUGACGGAGAUCCGACCGUUGGAUGGUAAUGAAAUUUUAGGAGGUUAUCCUAGAGAUAUAUUGUGGACCUCUGGAAGUUAUGGAUUUAAAAUCCGAGUGGUGGAUCUUCCGGAUCGAUCUACGUAGUGACGUAUUUUAUAUAAGUUAUAUAUUCUAUCACUAUGAAUUCUGAGGUUGGAAUUGAUUAUUGUUUUAGGCGCCGAUCGUCAUGACGCCUUGGCGUAUUGUGCUAGGGAGUUGUAGGGCGAACUCCAGGUGAGUGGGCAGUUUUGUUUUCCGUAUAUAUAUAUACUUGACGUUUUCCCAGAAAUUGAAAUUUAAUGAAAGUAUGCUUUAAAUGCAAUGUAUAAAAUUAUAUGAAAAGUAUAUAGAAAUGUGAAUCGAAAUGCCAUGCAUGAAAUGAUAUGAAAAGUAUGAAUUGAGAUAUGAUGCAUAUGUAUGAAUUGGUGCUGUGGACGCACAGGUGAGUAUAAGGUGAGUAUAUUACUGCUAUGAUGAUGUUGAGAUAUAUUGAGCUCAUAACCUGCACCUUGGUAUUAGUGCUUAUUAUUAUUCACCGCAUCGCAUGCUCACCUUGGAUCCAAGUAGAUGCUAGUCGUACAGACCACCGGGGGUGGUUCCGACAUGCCAGUCGUAUAGACCAUUAGAGGGGUUCCGACUGGUAGGUGACCUUAGAUUAUGUGCACAGAUGAUUGAUGAGAGAAGCACUAGAGCAUAUUAUUCUACCAUUAAGUCGUACAGAUUACAUUAGGUAAUUCCGACUUAUGUGCAGUAUAGUGCCGUACAGGUCAUACUAGGUGACUCCGGCAUGGCCGUAUAGGUCACAGUUGGUAUCUCCGGCUAGAUGAUAUUUUGAGCUCUAGGUUCAACCGUACAGGGCCAUUAGAGGGCCUCCGGUUGAUUACUUUCUUGCACCUGAUAUGAUUAUUGUUGAUGCAUCCAUACUUAACUGUUGAAUUAGACAUGGCAUGGCAUGAUUGAUAAAGAAAAAUGUUGAGAUAGUAAAAAUGAAGUUUUGAGAAUAUAUAUGUAUAUUUAUAUUUUACAUUUCUGGGAAAGUAUACAAGUUUUACGGAGAGGGGUUACAACGUUUUGAGAAAUGUUUGGA
rnacentral:lncRNA from 1 species